rnacentral:lncRNA from 1 species
UUGGUGGAGGUCAUGUUGGGAUCAAUAAUGUCACACAAGUAGUUGUGGUUAGACAUUACUUUUUCCAAUAUAGACCUUAGAAGCCAAGGACCUUAGUUUACCAAACCCAUCUUGGCCUAUUCGUAGGAUGUAGUGCGAAAGUCGUUCAAGUGUAAGAUUUGAUACGAUUGUUACGCGAUACUACACUCAUAAGAGUCUCUCUUGAGAAUAUUUUUGGAAUACGAGUAGUCGUUUCUCCGAUAAUAUCCGAAAGAUGGGAUGAUGACUAUGGGAACCUCUUGUAGAACAUGUUUGGCAGGUUUAAACCCUAGUACACUCCCUUUGGGGGGUUCUUAACCGAGACUCCAUGCUCGUGACUUGCAACAAACCCUUGAUUCAUGGUUGAUCCGUUCAGGUAUCCUUAAUAUCAAUGGAACUUGGGUGUUGAUAAGGUGUAAACCAUAAUCCACCAAAAUGGAUGGUUGAUAUUAAGGAUAACAUGAUCCAUCCCAUGACCUUUGUUUGGUGUGCUUUGCUUGAUCCUUGAGUGUGAUUGUUGCAUUCAUGCAUUCAUGCACCCAUUUGCAUUCAUAUCAUCAAAUAAUGAGAAAAUUUUCAAGGAACUUAAGAGGUCUAUUUGCAAAAUUUUCAGACAUGGAAAGACAAAGAAGGAUAACAAAGAAGUACAGUUUCAGACAACCAGACUUGAAAGAGUUAAGGAAUCUGACAUCCUAUGUAUUGGACCCCUUGGGUUUCAAAGCUCGUUUUGGGAAGCUUCUUCCUCUUCUGACUACUCCGGUGGAUGAAGGAUUGAUGAGCGUAUUGGUGCAGUUUUAUGAUCCUUUGUACCAUUGCUUCACGUUUCCAGACUUUCAGCUUUUACCUACACUUGAGGAGUAUGCCUAUCUUGUGGGUAUACCUAUUCUGAAUCAGUUGUCGUUCAGUGGCUUGGAAAGGGUUCCUACUUCUCAAGGGAUAGCAGACAUGUUACACAUAGAUGAAUCUCUGGUCGAUGCUCAUAUGACUACCAAAGGGGGAAUUCAAGGUCUCCCUUCUGAGUUCCUCAUUGCUCAAGCUACUAUGUAUGGGAAGGCCAUGAGUGAGGACGCCUUUGAGGCCAUAUUUGUACUUCUCAUCUAUGGGCUAGUGUUAUUCCCCAACAUCGACAAGUUUGUGGAUGUGAACGCUAUUAGGAUUUUCUCUACUCUUAAUCCCGUUCCGACUCUGUUGGGUGACACUUAUUUCUCUUUGCAUAUGAGGAAUGCAAAGGGUGGUGGUGCCAUUGUGUGUUGUUUGCCUCUGUUGUAUAAGUGGUUUAUUUCUCACUUACCUCAGACGGUCGCUUUCAAGGAGAACAAGGGAUGUCUACGGUGGUCCACGAGACUUAUGUCUCUCACUAAUGAUGAUAUCUCUUGGUAUAACCGUGUGUAUGAUGGUGUGCAGAUUAUUGACUCUUGUGGCGAAUUCUCCAAUGUACCUCUUCUUGGUACAUGUGGUGGGAUUAACUACAAUCCUGUUUUGGCACGUCGGCAGCUUGGGUUCCCCUUAAAGGAUAAACCCAAUAACAUUCUGUUAGAGGGUGUAUUCUUUCAGGAUGGUAAAGAUCCCCAAGGCUUGAAAGCUAGGAUGGUCCGCGCUUGGCGCAAGAUUCAUAGGAAAGGAAGGAAAGAGUUGGGUCCUAAGAAUUGUGUCGCUUUGGAGCCUUACACUGUUUGGGUUAGGAAGAGGGCGUCUGAGUAUCUCAUGCCUUACGAGUAUCCGAGACCUACACCUAUGAUUAUGGCUGGGCCUUCAACCCUCCCUAAUCAAGGAGUAGAGGAGUUGAGAGACGAAGACCGUUCACGUGCCUGGAUCCGUGAACGUGAAGAGUUGCUUCAGCAGAUUAAGGAGAAGGAUGCGUUGAUUGAGUUUCUUGAGCAUCAGGUUAUUGAUGACCCUGAUGAUGUAUGGACUUCUCUACUUCCUCAGUCUUCUAAGUUCUGGAAGAGGAGGUAUGAUCGACUCGCCAAAGAGAAGGCCGAUAUGGAGGCAGCCUACGAGAGGGAGGUGAAGAGGCUUCGCGCAUCUUAUCUUCCUGUGUCCCGAGCUUUAGAUGAUUGUUUCUAGGGAUCCAUAGGAUGAUUAUUUUCCUUUUCUCUUGUAUAUGAUUGACGAUGCUGCACUUCUUUUCCCUGAUAUUAUUUGAUGAGAUAUUUCCAUAUGUGAUAAAAUGCUUAAUAUUUCCAGAAUUUGCAAAUAAAACUCUAAAGUUCCUUUGAAAUAAAAAACAAAUCAUAUGCACAAACAUUGCAUGCAUCAUAUGCAUAAGCAGGUUUUGUUUCCGGUCCCUUGCCCUGUGGUCUAACUCUGUGUCCUUCAUUUAUUUUGAAGACAAGCUGACUCACCGGUACUACACUAGAGCCAACAUUUCAAGACUGAUGGAUCACUUAGAGCAAGAGAACCGCGAGCUGAAAGAGGAAGUGGCCAGAUUGACUGCCCUAAUGGAGUCACUCAUGGCUGCCCAGAGCCAGUCUUCUCCGACACCUUCAACUCCUCCCCAGAGGACAGUUAUCUCCGAGAUUGUCUCCUCUACUGUGCCCGCUGCCAGUGCACACUUUGUUCCAACAGCCAUGCCAACCGGGUUCCCGUGGGGGAUGCCUCCCAAUUUCAUGCCUGAGGGUCCUGUUCCUACCUUUGCUUCUCUGCCGGCAUCUAGCCCGGUCCUUGCCGUUCCUCCUCCUGUCGUGCAUACUUUGCCCAGGGUAGACGACACCAUCUAUCAUUCUGAGCCGUCUGAGGGUCCAGAUGUUUAUGAGAAGAUGGAUGCUAUGAACGAUCAAUUUCUUGAGCUUCGCAAGGAAUUGAAAACUCUCAGAGGGAAGGAUCUUUUCGGCAAGUCUGCUGCCGAACUCUGCUUGGUUCCAAAUGUGAAGAUCCCUGUGAAAUUCAAGGUCCCUGAUUUUGAAAAGUACAAAGGAAAUACUUGUCCUCUCAGCCACCUGGUCAUGUAUGCCAGGAAGAUGUCGACUCAAACCGAUAAUGACCAACUACUCAUCCACUACUUUCAGGACAGUCUGUCCGGUGCCGCUUUGCGUUGGUACAUGGGUUUAGACAGCGCGAACAUCCGAUCCUUCAAUGAUCUCGGCGAAGCCUUCGUCAAGCAGUACAAGUACAACGUGGAUAUGGCUCCCGAUAGAGAUCAAUUGAGAGCCAUGUCCCAGAAGGAUAAAGAAACAUUUAAGGAGUACGCCCAGAGGUGGCGAGAGGUGGCAGCACAGAUCGUGCCUCCGCUAGAAGAGAAAGAGAUGACUAAGAUCUUUUUGAAGACUUUAAGUUCUUUUUAUUAUGAGCGGAUGAUUGCUAGCGCUCCUUCUGAAUUUACCGAGAUGGUAAAUAUGGGGAUGCGUCUAGAAGAAGGGGUCCAUGAAGGACGGUUAACCAGAGAAGAAGGCUCUUCUGCCAAACGUUAUGGGGCGUUUGCAAAGAAGAAAGAUGGAGAGGCACAUGCUGUGACCUCCCAUGAGAAACCAAGAAAACCCUCUGUGAGGAGGAAGACUGUGCGUCCCGCCAGUAACCAGCACCAAGUGGCUCAUAUAGCACCUGUCUUUAAAGAUAAUCAACAACAACAACAUCGUCCAUAACAACAGGCCUACCAGCCUCGCAACAGUAAUCAGACCAGCCCAAGUUACGAGAGAAAAAGGGUCACCUUCGAUCCUAUUCCCAUGAUGUACGCAGAGUUAUAUCCCUCUUUGAUAGAGAGGAAGUUGAUUACUCCGAGAGACCCCCCAGCUAUACCUGUUAACCCUCAGUGGUGGUAUAAGCCCGAGUUACAUUGUGUUUAUCAUUCUGGUGCUCCCGGCCACGACGUGGAGAAUUGUUACCCUUUGAAGACCAAUGUUCAAGACCUUGUGAGGUGCGAUAUUCUAUGUUUUGAGGACGUAGGCCCUAAUGUGAAGAAGAACCCAUUGCCCGAAUAUGGGAAAUCUGUCAACAUGGUUCAGGGUUGCCCUGGCAAAUACAAGGUCAAAUAUGUCAGUCAUAUUCAACAAUCGCUGGUCGAGACGUAUCGUUUGUUAUGUAACUACAGUCAUUAUGAGCAUGACCAUGAUAGAUGCCGAGUCUGCUCUGUUAACCGAUUGGGUUAUUGCCAGGUGCGCAAGGAUGUUCAGGAAAUGCUGGACGAAGGAGUCAUUGAGAUCCUUCAAAAAAAUGUUGAUGAAAAUGAGCCUGAGGUCAAUGUGAUCUCCCCAGUGUUCCGGAUACCCGAGCCUGUUAUCAUCAAGUACAAUGGUAGCAAGCAGAAGGCUUCUCCCACUCUGAUCAUUAAGCCUGCUGAUCCUAUGCCUUACUCUUCUGAAAAGGCAGUUCCCUAUCGCUACAACGCCGUAGCAGUAGAGAAUGGGAAUGAGGUGUCCUUGCCCUCUUCUUCUGUUGUGAAUAUUGCCGAUGUUAGCGGUUUGACCCGUAGUGGCCGUGUAUUUUCAGCACCACCGAAGCCUCAAAUUAAUGUUGAUUUUGUUGAACGCCCGAUUGGGAACGUUGUGAAUUCUCUGAAUCCGGCACUUGCUGUUAAGCCCUCCUCCGUACUAAAAACUCCUACUUCUGUUGGCCCUAGUGGCAAUAAGAAAGAAGACUAUGAUGAGAUGAUGAGACUCAUCAAAAGGAGCGAGUACAAUGUUAUAGACCAACUUCUACAAACGCCAUCCAAAAUAUCUGUGUUAUCCUUACUCUUAAAUUCAGAACCACAUCGAGAGGCUCUACAGAAGGUGUUGGAUGUGGCAUAUGUGGAUCACGAUGUCACUUUGGAGCAAUUCGAUAGCAUUGUUGCAAACAUUACUGCUUGUAACAACCUGAGCUUUUGUGACUCUGAUCUCCCUGAGGAGGGAAGAGACCACAACUUGGCAUUACAUAUAUCUAUGGGUUGUAGAGACGACGCCAUGUCCAAUGUACUGGUGGACACUGGGUCAUCAUUGAACGUAUUGCCAAAGUCCACUCUCUCAAAGCUAUCAUAUCAAGGGCCUCCCAUGAGGCAGAGUGGGGUAGUUGUGAAGGCUUUCGAUGGGUCUCGCAAAACUGUGAUNNNNNNNNNNNNNNNNNNNNNNNNNNNNNNNNNNNNNNNNNNNNNNNNNNNNNNNNNNNNNNNNNNNNNNNNNNNNNNNNNNNNNNNNNNNNNNNNNNNNNNNNNNNNNNNNNNNNNNNNNNNNNNNNNNNNNNNNNNNNNNNNNNNNNNNNNNNNNNNNNNNNNNNNNNNNNNNNNNNNNNNNNNNNNNNNNNNNNNNNNNNNNNNNNNNNNNNNNNNNNNNNNNNNNNNNNNNNNNNNNNNNNNNNNNNNNNNNNNNNNNNNNNNNNNNNNNNNNNNNNNNNNNNNNNNNNNNNNNNNNNNNNNNNNNNNNNNNNNNNNNNNNNNNNNNNNNNNNNNNNNNNNNNNNNNNNNNNNNNNNNNNNNNNNNNNNNNNNNNNNNNNNNNNNNNNNNNNNNNNNNNNNNNNNNNNNNNNNNNNNNNNNNNNNNNNNNNNNNNNNNNNNNNNNNNNNNNNNNNNNNNNNNNNNNNNNNNNNNNNNNNNNNNNNNNNNNNNNNNNNNNNNNNNNNNNNNNNNNNNNNNNNNNNNNNNNNNNNNNNNNNNNNNNNNNNNNNNNNNNNNNNNNNNNNNNNNNNNNNNNNNNNNNNNNNNNNNNNNNNNNNNNNNNNNNNNNNNNNNNNNNNNNNNNNNNNNNNNNNNNNNNNNNNNNNNNNNNNNNNNNNNNNNNNNNNNNNNNNNNNNNNNNNNNNNNNNNNNNNNNNNNNNNNNNNNNNNNNNNNNNNNNNNNNNNNNNNNNNNNNNNNNNNNNNNNNNNNNNNNNNNNNNNNNNNNNNNNNNNNNNNNNNNNNNNNNNNNNNNNNNNNNNNNNNNNNNNNNNNNNNNNNNNNNNNNNNNNNNNNNNNNNNNNNNNNNNNNNNNNNNNNNNNNNNNNNNNNNNNNNNNNNNNNNNNNNNNNNNNNNNNNNNNNNNNNNNNNNNNNNNNNNNNNNNNNNNNNNNNNNNNNNNNNNNNNNNNNNNNNNNNNNNNNNNNNNNNNNNNNNNNNNNNNNNNNNNNNNNNNNNNNNNNNNNNNNNNNNNNNNNNNNNNNNNNNNNNNNNNNNNNNNNNNNNNNNNNNNNNNNNNNNNNNNNNNNNNNNNNNNNNNNNNNNNNNNNNNNNNNNNNNNNNNNNNNNNNNNNNNNNNNNNNNNNNNNNNNNNNNNNNNNNNNNNNNNNNNNNNNNNNNNNNNNNNNNNNNNNNNNNNNNNNNNNNNNNNNNNNNNNNNNNNNNNNNNNNNNNNNNNNNNNNNNNNNNNNNNNNNNNNNNNNNNNNNNNNNNNNNNNNNNNNNNNNNNNNNNNNNNNNNNNNNNNNNNNNNNNNNNNNNNNNNNNNNNNNNNNNNNNNNNNNNNNNNNNNNNNNNNNNNNNNNNNNNNNNNNNNNNNNNNNNNNNNNNNNNNNNNNNNNNNNNNNNNNNNNNNNNNNNNNNNNNNNNNNNNNNNNNNNNNNNNNNNNNNNNNNNNNNNNNNNNNNNNNNNNNNNNNNNNNNNNNNNNNNNNNNNNNNNNNNNNNNNNNNNNNNNNNNNNNNNNNNNNNNNNNNNNNNNNNNNNNNNNNNNNNNNNNNNNNNNNNNNNNNNNNNNNNNNNNNNNNNNNNNNNNNNNNNNNNNNNNNNNNNNNNNNNNNNNNNNNNNNNNNNNNNNNNNNNNNNNNNNNNNNCUCCUUCAUUUGCUUCCUACAAAGAUGCAAAGCUGGCCAUUGAGCGUGGUGCAACCACUGGUUUAGGAAAAAUGAUUGAGUUAGAAGACAACGAGUCCCGGGCUGGCAUAGGUUUUUCUUCUGGUACUUUCAACAAGCAAUGGCUAUUCAAGAGUGGAGGUUUCAUCCACACUGGUCUAGAUGAGGAGGCUGCUGCCGUUUUAGAAGAAGAUACAAAGGAUUCUGGCAACUUCAUCAUCCCUGGUGGGGUCUGCAACAAUUGGGUCGCUGUGGAUAUUCCAACAGUUGUCCAUAAGUCAAUGUAAUAAUCACUUUGUUUGAAAAUCCUUCUCCCAUGCCAAAAGGAGGAGUGAUGACAUUGUUGGCGCAUAAAUACAAUGAUAUUUUCAUUCAAUAAAUUCAUGUUAAAUGUUUGUUUUCCAAUUAUUUUCCCUUUUUGCUUUUGCAUGAAAUUGGUGAUCACAUAAAACCCUAAAAAAUAGAAUAAAAUUGAUCUUUUUCAUAUGCAUAAUGAUUUGCCUUGUUUGAAUUCUAAAGCUUUUCAUAUCCAAAAUCAUUAUGCAGGUUGAUUUCUAGACCCAUUGAACAUAAUGACCCAACAUCAUCUCCCAAUUUCGAAUUCCCUGUAUUUGAGGUAGAGGAAGAUGAUGUUGAAGAGAUUCCUGAUGAGAUCACCCGGCUACUUGAGCAUGAAGAGAAGAUCAUUCAGCCACAUCUUGAGAAUCUGGAAGCAGUCAACUUAGGGUCGGAAGAUUGUGUGCGAGAGGUAAAGAUUGGGGCACUUCUGGAAGAAUCUGUUAAGAAGGGGUUGAUUAAGUUGCUACAAGAAUAUGUUGACGUCUUUGCCUGGUCAUAUGAAGACAUGUCUGGUCUAGAUACUGAUAUUGUGCAACAUUUCUUACCUUUGAAGCCUGAGUGCAUGCCUGUGAAACAGAAGCUCAGAAGAACUCGUCCUGAUAUGGCAGUGAAGAUCAAAGAGGAAGUUCAGAAGCAAAUUGAUGCGGGGUUUCUGGUGACUUCUACAUAUCCUCAAUGGGUGGCCAAUAUUGUGCCCGUGCCUAAGAAAGAUGGAAAAGUCCGGAUGUGUGUGGACUAUAGAGACUUGAAUAAAGCUAGUCCGAAAGAUGAUUUCCCUCUACCACAUAUUGAUAUGUUGGUAGAUAAUACAGCUAAAUUCAAAGUCUUCUCGUUUAUGGAUGGAUUUUCCGGAUAUAAUCAGAUNNNNNNNNNNNNNNNNNNNNNNNNNNNNNNNNNNNNNNNNNNNNNNNNNNNNNNNNNNNNNNNNNNNNNNNNNNNNNNNNNNNNNNNNNNNNNNNNNNNNNNNNNNNNNNNNNNNNNNNNNNNNNNNNNNNNNNNNNNNNNNNNNNNNNNNNNNNNNNNNNNNNNNNNNNNNNNNNNNNNNNNNNNNNNNNNNNNNNNNNNNNNNNNNNNNNNNNNNNNNNNNNNNNNNNNNNNNNNNNNNNNNNNNNNNNNNNNNNNNNNNNNNNNNNNNNNNNNNNNNNNNNNNNNNNNNNNNNNNNNNNNNNNNNNNNNNNNNNNNNNNNNNNNNNNNNNNNNNNNNNNNNNNNNNNNNNNNNNNNNNNNNNNNNNNNNNNNNNNNNNNNNNNNNNNNNNNNNNNNNNNNNNNNNNNNNNNNNNNNNNNNNNNNNNNNNNNNNNNNNNNNNNNNNNNNNNNNNNNNNNNNNNNNNNNNNNNNNNNNNNNNNNNNNNNNNNNNNNNNNNNNNNNNNNNNNNNNNNNNNNNNNNNNNNNNNNNNNNNNNNNNNNNNNNNNNNNNNNNNNNNNNNNNNNNNNNNNNNNNNNNNNNNNNNNNNNNNNNNNNNNNNNNNNNNNNNNNNNNNNNNNNNNNNNNNNNNNNNNNNNNNNNNNNNNNNNNNNNNNNNNNNNNNNNNNNNNNNNNNNNNNNNNNNNNNNNNNNNNNNNNNNNNNNNNNNNNNNNNNNNNNNNNNNNNNNNNNNNNNNNNNNNNNNNNNNNNNNNNNNNNNNNNNNNNNNNNNNNNCUAAAUUCAAAGUCUUCUCGUUUAUGGAUGGAUUUUCCGGAUAUAAUCAGAUUAAAAUGGCACCCGAGGAUAUGGAGAAGACAACAUUCAUCACACCUUGGGGAACAUUCUGUUAUCGAGUGAUGCCCUUCGGUUUGAAGAACGCCGGAGCCACGUAUCAACGAGCCAUGACUACCUUGUUCCAUGACAUGAUGCAUAAGGAGAUUGAGGUGUACGUUAACGAUAUGAUCGCUAAGUCAAGAUCGGAGGUUGAACAUAUAGAGCACCUAUUGAAGCUUUUUUAGCGCUUGAGGAAGUACAAGCUUCGUCUGAAUCCCAACAAGUGUACAUUUGGAGUCCGUUCCGGAAAGUUAUUGGGCUUUAUUGUCAGUGAGAAAGGUAUUGAGGUUGAUCCUGCAAAGGUCAAAGCAAUACGAGAGAUGCCUACGCCCAAAACUGAGAAGCAAGUCCGAGGUUUUCUUGGCCGCUUGAAUUACAUUUCCAGAUUCAUAUCCCACAUGACUGCCACAUGUGCGCCAAUAUUCAAGCUCCUCCGGAAAGAUCAGUCUCAUGAUUGGACCGAGGAUUGCCAGAAAGCUUUCGAUAGUAUUAAAGAGUAUCUGUCUGAGCCUCCGAUUCUGUCUCCGCCCGUGGAAGGGAGACCAUUGAUCAUGUAUCUGACUGCUCUGGAAGAUUCUAUGGGUUGUGUCCUUGGCCAGCAAGAUGAAUCAGGGAAGAAAGAGUAUGCUAUCUACUACUUGAGUAAGAAUUUCACCGAUUGUGAGUCUCGAUACUCAAUGCUUGAGAAGACAUGUUGUGCUUUGGCUUAGGCCGCUAAGCGCUUACGUCAGUAUAUGUUGAAUCAUACCAUUUGGUUGAUAUCCCGAAUGGACCCAAUCAAGUAUAUAUUUGAGAAGACUGCUUUAACUGGAAGGAUUGCCCGUUGGCAGAUGUUGUUGUCUGAGUAUGAUAUUGAGUACCGAGCUCAGAAAGCUAUUAAAGGUAGUAUUUUGGCUGACCACUUGGCACAUCAACCCAUUGAGGACUAUCAGUCAGUUCAGUAUGACUUCCCAGAUGAGGAGAUCCUGUAUUUAAAAAUGAAAGAUUGUGAUGAACCCACACUUGAUGAAGGGCCAGAGCCUGGUUCCCGAUGGAGUAUGGUAUUUGAUGGCGAUGUAAAUCAAUAUGGAAAUGGUAUUGGGGCGGUAAUUAUUACGCCUCAGGGCACACAUAUUCCUUUUACAGCAAGGCUAACUUUCAAGUGCACAAAUAAUAUGGCUGAGUAUGAGGCAUGUAUUAUGGGAUUGGAGGAAUGCAUUGAUCUUAGAAUCAAGCAUCUUGAUGUAUAUGGUGAUUCGGCCCUCGUUGUUAAUCAGAUUAAGGGUGAGUGGGAAACGAAUCAGCCUGGCCUCAUCCCAUACAGAGAUUAUGCGAGGAGGAUUUCAACGUUCUUUACUGAGGUUGACUUCCAUCAUAUUUCUCGAGAUGAGAAUCGGAUGGCAGAUGCCCUUGCUACACUUGCUUUAAUGAUUGUGGUCAGACUUUGGAAUGAAGUUCCCAAUAUUACCGUGAUGCGCUUGGAUAGGCCGGCUCAUGUAUUUGCAGUUGAAGAAGUAAAAGAUGACAAACCAUGGUAUCAUGAUAUCAAGUGUUUCCUUCAGAACCAGACUUACCCACCCGGGGUGUUUGUGAAAGAUAGGAAGACUUUGAGGAGAUUGUCAGGCAGUUUCUACCUCAAUGGUGAUGUGCUUUAUAAGAGAAAUUUUGACAUGGUUCUGCUCAGAUGCGUGGAUAGACACGAAGUAGACCUGUUAAUGACUGAGGUUCAUGAGGGUUCAUUUGGUACUCAUUCCAACGGACAUGCCAUGCCUAGAAAGAUGUUGAGAGCAGGCUACUAUUGGCUGACAAUGGAGUCUGACUGCUGUAAAUAUGUGAAGAAAUGCCAUAAGUGUCAAAUUUAUGCGGAUAAGAUUCAUAUUCCCCCGACACUUUUGAAUGUGAUUUCAUCACCAUGGCCUUUCUCUAUGUGGGGAAUUGACAUGAUUGGCAUGAUAGAGCCGGAAGCAUCCAAUGGACACAGAUUUAUUCUCGUAACAAUUGAUUACUUCACCAAGUGGGUUGAAGCGGCAUCAUAUGCAAAUGUGACCAGGCAGGUGGUCGUGAAGUUUAUCAAGAAUCAACUCAUAUGCCGAUAUGGUGUGCCAGAUAAGAUCAUUACCGACAAUGGAUCUAACUUGAAUAACAAGAUGAUGAAAGAACUGUGUAGUGAGUUCAAGAUCGCGCAUCAUAACUCUUCUCCUUACAAACCCAAGAUGAAUGGGGUUGUUGAAGCUGCUAAUAAGAACAUUAAGAAAAUUAUCCAGAGGAUGGUUGUUACGUACAAAGAUUGGCAUGAGAUGUUGCCAUUCGCUUUGCAUGGAUAUCGUACAUCUGUCCGCACUUCAACAAGGGCAACCCCUUUCUCUCUGGUUUAUGGCAUGGAGGUUGUACUCCCUAUAGAGGUGGAGAUCCCAUCAAUGAGAGUCUUGAUGGAAGCCAAGUUGACUGAUGCUGAAUGGGUUUAGAGUCGUUAUGACCAGCUGAAUUUGAUUGAAGAGAAGAGAUUGACUGCCAUGUGCCACGGUCAGUUAGUAUCAGCAAAGGAUGAAAGCUUUUGAUAAGAAGGUCAAGCUCGUAUGUUUCCGAGAAGGACCUGCUCCAGAGUCUUGUCUUUCGCGCCCGAUUCCAGGGCAGUGACUCCAAAACUAUGAGGUUUGAUGUUGUAAGGAGCCUUUUCAGCGGUGCUUAAUACUUACACUAUGAGAGGGAGAUUUCACUCCCUUGAUCAGUGUAGGCAAGAAUACUCGCCUAAAAAUAAACUGAAUAGCUCGCUAAAUUGAAACCCGACACGGCUUAGGCAAAAAUGAGCGUCUCGGGGAUAAAACCGAAAGGGUAUCCAGGUGAAGAAGUUAGAGACACAAAAAUAUAAUAAUGAUAUAUGUAUCCCCAGAUGAGUACCUCAUCUGCGGGCAAUCUAGGCCAAAAUUAGGAUUUGGCAAGAACUGCACCUGACAAGACUUUGUUUACAACUGUCGUUCGUCGAGAUUCUUGCUCAUUAUCAACCAAAACUCAAUACAUCGGAUUCAGAAUUGUGGAGAAAUCUAUGUUCAAUGUAGCCCUUUUCCAAUAUAUAUCACCAAUUUCAAAUUUGUAAAGAUCUAUGGAGUCUUGCCAUUCGCAGACUACCAUUCUAUCAAAUAAAUUUGAGCCUUUUAUCCAGUUAUUGACAUUCUUAUUUGUUUCUAUUCAACAAAUGUUUUGCAUGUUUUGAUUAAGAAAAUAUCAUUAUUUUAAACAAUUAAAGUUUUCAUAAUUUGUUUUUAAACAAAGUGAACAUUCACAAUGACGAAAGGAUACUUAGGAGAUCCUCAGUGCUCUCCCAAGGAUGGUACGAUCCCCAACAGGGUAAGAUUUUUCUCCAUAUUCCUGGCAUGACUGUAUCUCCUCCCUCCGGAACCUUUUGUGGUUUAUCCUACCAAGAGGAUUGCUUGUUGAGAGUCACCUCUCUUCCCUUCAGUAGAGUAGCAAUCUUUCUUCCUCAGCAGCUUGGAUCUCUUUGGGCAAGAGCGGUAUUCGGUGGUUGAUCCCGAUAAAUUCUUUAUCUCCUCGGAUAAAUUCCCCAGUAGAGUUGUUGGUGUGGUGGACCUUGUCUGUGAUAACUCUCGUCCCCAGCUAGAACGACUGAUGUUCAUCCCCUGCAAGGACAGUCGCCCUUAGGAGACUUGGCUUUCUCUCUUGAGAUGUAGUACCGGGUAGUUGAUUCCUGGACCUGGUUGUGUUAGAUACGUCUGUUUGUCAGCAUACAUCAUACAUAAACCACGCAUAUACAUGCAUAAUUAUAACAUUCAGAUAUUCAUGUUGCAUUCUUUGCCAUAUAUUCGUUGUUUGUUGUCUCCUGCUAUUUGGUGAUAUAUUUCCCCAAGCAGAUGUGUGUGUCUGAUCUCUCCAUAUAGAGUCAGCUCCAUAGGCAGAAAGCGUCUAUCCUUUCUUCCAUAUUCCCCACCGGGUUAUAUCCUCGUGGAUGUUGAUUGUUUUUGUUCCUUCCUAACACAUAUAUUGGGAUGGUUUUCCCCAUUGAGUUAUAUCCUCACCGGGACAAGUCUUGAUUUGGUAUGCCUAUCUAGUUUGAUCCUAGAUCGGUCUCUUGAGACUCUUUUCUUGUUUCCCUAUGGUAAGCGAAUAAUUGCUCAAUAUUUAGUAAUUAUUAUCCCCGGCGGAGUCUGUGGUUCUCUACCCUCAUACCGGUAGUUGUAAACCCUAUUUCUUCCCUUUUUGCAGAGUAACUAUUUUUUUGCUCAUCUUUAAUUGGUGACAGUUAUCUUCAUCCAAUAUUCGGUGAUGAUAUCCCCUCAUCUGCUUGGAUAAUUGCCCUGAUUACGCAAAUUAUCCCCAGCGGGUCAUCUCUCGUCUACCCUGUUGUUGUCGGUGAUGAUUGUUUCUCUCCUGAAUUGGUCAUCAUUAUAUACCUAGUUUCGGUAUCCUGAUGCCUUUUCUUUUCGGUCGAUUUAUCCUUUAUUAACCCAGUAACCGGUUGUGGAUAAUCGCCCAUGCGAGUAUAUUAUCUACGUUCUGACGGUAAUAGAUGAUGUAUCUCAUGCACUCUUUGGUCAAAGCUUUGUUCUUCCCCAGUCGAGUAAGAGUCGUAUCCCCUUGACGAAGUCAAAUAUCCAUCCUAUAAUCGAGUUUGAUUUUUAGCCCUCUUGUGGAUGAUGAGUGUCUUGGGAAUAUUCCAUAAUUCACGUCUUGGUUGGUCACCUAUUAUAUGCCCAGUAACCGGUAUCCCUGGUGUUCCUUCCUCUCUGCUCCCUAUUAUGACCUUUUAGUCCCCUGUGGAGUCAGAAUCCCUGAGUUGAAGUAUACCCUUUUAGGUCUUCCUCGGACGUUUUGGAGGCUUUGAUAUCUCUCACCCUUAUAUCGGUCUUAGAUAUUCAUUCUCCCAGAGCAUGUUUUUUCCCUCACCCUGACCGAUGGAAUCACAUGAUUUCUCUUUGAACUUAUUACCUAGUAACCGGUAAUACCUUGUCACUACUACUUCCCCAGGAGAGUCUUUUUGGACAUUCCCAGCGAAGUCCCUUAGUGGAUUGUCCUCAUCCGAAUUUUUAUCCGAAGUAUCCGAUGUGGAUAGUUUUUGCUGUAUUGGCAUAUACCCCAAUACGGGCGUCUUCGAGCCAGCUCGAGUCUUUCCAAUGGAUUUAUUCCCUUUAGAAUUCUUUUCCCCAAGCUUUGAGUCGUGACCUGCUCGCGCACUUUUAUCCCUUUUCUAUCCCCAGGAGAGUCCCCAGGGUCUUGGUCCCAUGGAGUGAAUUGCUCAUAUGCAUUAUCAGUGGCUUCUGAUUUCUUUGCUUUUGUGGAUACAUAUCUCCACAGAGUGUUACCAUUUUUCAUACCUACAUUUGCAUCAUGAGGACUCUUAGGGACCAAAAUUCGUCUCUUUGUUAUUAUUUAAGCCCAUUCUACCCCGUCGAGAUGAAGAUUUCAACCUUCGCUUCUCCGGCUAGAAUGACCUUAAAUAGGGGCAUCUGUAAGACCCCAAUUUUGACCCUAAGAUCCCCCAUGGCAUCAUAACAUUGCAUUUGCAUAGCCUCAAGGAUCACAAGCAUCUUGGUUCCCUUUGCCUUUGGGUGGGACUCUUUGUGAUUGGUUUGAGAUCACCAAGCAUGCUUGAAUUAUAUAUCAUUGUUUCUCUUAUUUUUUGUUUACCAACCAAAAGCACAAAAAUGUGUCACUAACAUCUUUUGUUUGAAGCUUGAGUAUCAUCCAAGACACUUUGUGGGUUCUAUUCGGGUGAUCAGUCAAUACAAGGGAAUGACGUGGGUUACUUCCAACAUGUUCCAAUGGGAUCUAUUCAUCAUUCAGAAUGCUAAUCUUGAAAGAUUAAAAAUCUGUUUCUGAGUUGUCAUGCUCGCUAGGCGAGCAGCAUGGUUCGCUAAGCGAACUGAACUAUCAUGCUCGCUAGGCGAGCAGAUCCUUCGCUAGGCGAAGAGCACGCGUUUUCAGAAAAUAACAAAAAGUUUUGGGCUUGAGUUGCCCUCAUUUAAGCCCACAAAGCCAGGAAAUCAGUUAUAAAUACUAGGGAGCUGGAGACAAAUAGAAAGGAGAUAGAAGGGAGAAAAGGGGAGAACAAAGAGGAAGAGAAGGGGAAAGACCUAGGGACUAAUCUGCAGCCUCCAGGCAGCUCUGAAAGAUUCACUCUGACUCACACACUUUUUCACCUCCGUCUCACGCAAACCCUAACAGUGCUUUGCAAACCCAGCCGUGCCAUUUGAUUUUAAUCGAUCUCUCCAAUCAGGUUUGGGGCCUAUCGCAUUACUCUAUGCUUUCAAUUUGAAUGCUCUGAAUGUAUGAGGUAUGCGUUACGGUUUUGCCGCACGGUUUAUAUGGGCAAUGAAGUAUAGAACAAUAUCUCGAAUGUGUAACCGUUUCGUUUAAUUGGAUUACCACAGGUAGGUUACCGAAAUCGUACUGUUAUCAGAUGCAGAACCAGAACCGCAGGCGUUCGCUAGCUACCAUCGCUAGGCGAGCCUGUAGCGAAGCCUCGCUAAGCCUUCGCUAGGCGAAGCAGUAGCGAGCGUGACAGUAAUUGAUUUUCUUUCUCUGUUUGCUCUAAUCUGUUUUGUGUUUGUCAUGGCGUUGUUUUCCCUUGUUACUCUAACCUGUUUGUUGAGUUUUUGUGAGGGCUCACAUGACCUUAGAAGAGACGGCUUUCUUGGUAUUCCACUUUAUUUGUGGGAUACCACCUGGAGGUUUAUUCCGAUCACUUGUACUGACCUGUCCUCCGUUGGCGUGUUUACCUUAUGCAUGUUUGUUUUGUAUUCCCUCGUUGCAGGUCUAGUAAGGUAGCGCGGUUCCCUAGCCUAGGACUGCCCUUUUACAUACGCAUCCCUAAAACCCAAACCAACUCAUUGAUCUUUCUUCUCCUAAGAACACGUUUACUCCUUCUACUACAGGCGAGUAAGUCUCCAAAGGUCGAGCAUCCAGUAGAUUGCGUAGUAACGUCGUUCACCCCAAAACCCAACCCUUAACCCGUAGUUAGUCGAACUACGUUUUGCUCUGAUUUUCAUCCCAGAUGAGAUACGUAGGCAUAAGACGCGAUGUCUUAGCGAGAUGCGUAGUAACGUCGUUCACCCCAAAACCCAACCCUUAACCCGUAGUUAGUCGAACUACGUUUUGCUCUGAUUUUCAUCCCAGAUGAGAUACGUAGGCAUAAGACGCGAUGUCUUAGCGAGCACACUAACCCCUAACCCCUAGGUAGCCGAGCUACGAAGACUCUGAUUCUCAGAUUCAGAUGAGAUAGGUAUGCAGUGGAUGCGACAUCCGUGCGAGUCAUUUUCUUUUGACCCCUCUUUUAGUAAGUAGUACAUUAGAUAAACAUACACGCUUUUCUCAUCCCUUCAAUCAUGUUUGCACGAAUAAAUUUUCACAAAAACAACAACCUUUGCAACAAAUAUGAAAAGGGCUCCCUAGGAAUACCUAGGAUGCUUUGGGUGUCUAACACCCUCCCAUUGCAUAACCAACCCCCUUACCUAGAUCUCUGACAUUUUUACUAGUUUUUGAUUCGAUAAAACUUUUAGGUUUUUGUUCGCUUUCUAACCAUUCCUUUGGAUAAAUAGAAGUGCGGUGGCGAACUUUUAGGUUUUUGUUCGCUUUCUAACCAUUCCUUUGGAUAAAUAGAAGUGCGGUGGCGACUCGACUUGUAUGAUUUACCUUGGAUUUAGUCAAUGUCUCUAAUGGUAACGAAUACCCCGCUACAGAUAGUAAUGCCUAACCAUAAAUACUUGUGUGACAUUUCCAAAUCCAAAAGAGUCUCCACUGAGCAGAUGGAUCUCAAGCCAACUUGUUAAGGACUACUCCACACAAGUCGAAUAUGACUAUACCAUCCUCCUAUCUUAAUUGCACUCAAGUUCGGGUUAGAACUUAUUUCACCACUCAGAGAUCACCAAGCACAACAAGCAGAUUAUAUCACACAUACAUAUAUACAAAUAUCACAUAUACACAAAUAUAUACACACAAAAAGUAAGAUAAACCCACUGGAGACUAGUCCCCAGCAGAGUCGCCACUUAAUUUCUGUAGCGGUAAAUUCAUGAUUAUCAAGCUAUGGAUAAGCUAGACAUCAAAUAACUAGAGUCGCCACCGCGCUUUUAUUGUUUCCAAGGGAAAAGGGAAAAAGUAUGAACAAAACCCAAAAGUAAGAAGUUUUCAAAUCAAAACUAAUAAAAUGUCAGAGAUUACAAGUAAGGGGGUUGGUUACACAGAGGGAAGGUGUUAGCACCCAAAGUGUCCUAGGUACUCCUAGGGAGCCCUUUUUGUGUGCAUAUGUAUUUAGUAAAAAAUGAGGUUUACAAACAAAUAGAAUGGGGGGAUGAGAAAAGAAUUCAUUAAUUAUAUUUUUGUGUUUGACAAGACCUUCGGACUUGUGCCUACGUACCAACAUAAAAAUGAGGGAUCAAAACCUCGUAGUUCGUGAUACAAGUUUCAAAGUGGAUGAAUUGAAUGAGUUAAUUUGAAAGGCAUUGGCUUUUUGAAAGUUUAAGUCAAGUAUAAUUAAGUCUAUUUACAAGUUUUAUUAAGAAAAGGAAGUUUGAAAAUUCAAUGGCAUAAGGCCAAAGUUUCUAUCUUUUUGCAAAGUGGUCAAAGUUUAGAACAAAACUAGUUCAAACAAAGAAAAUUUUAAAAAAAUGAGGGAGAGAUUUUGAAAUUAAAAAACUGGGGAGGAGAUGAAGAGACUAAUCCUAUGCACAAAAUUAAAAGUUAAGGGUUGAAAAGAUUUGACCAAUGGGUAGCAAUCCAAUAGACAAGAAUGUCAAUAGACACCCAAAUUCCCUUGGACAUUUAGAAUCAAGCAACACACAAAUGCACAAUUAUAUCAAUCUUGAAGAGAAAGGCAUCAAAUAAAUAUAGCCACAUCCAAGCUUAGCCACUCCAUGAUCUUCUUCAAGAUAGCCCAUGUAAUAGAUGAAUUCACAAGUCACAAGUUCAAAAUAAAAGUUUCACAAUGAUUAUAUUACAGAUGAACUCAAAUGGAUCUUCAAUGAUGUAUCAGACGAAGUUUCAAAUUGCAAUCACUUGGUUUCACAAAAGUUGGCAUUGGCCAAGUCCUUUAGCAUAGGGAGGUUGCCUAAAUUCUAAGUCCAAUUGGUCCAAGAUCAAGUCGACAGUCCACACAAAAGUUUUUUAGGAUUUUUGUUAUUAUUAUGUACAUUAAUGGUUAAAGAUCACACAAACAAACAAAGUAUCCACAAAAAGGAAUAUAUUACACAAUAUGGUCCAAGUGGACAAAGGGAAAAUUGCAUUAACAUAAACAAUUAGAAUGGUAUGAAUAAUGGCAAAUGAAUAAAGACUAAAAUUAAAUGGCAUUAAAGUAAAUGGCUUGAAAUUAAAAUUUAGUUGUUAAUGAGUAAGAAGUUAGUAUUGUUUUGCUUUUGCUUUUUAUUUUUUAGUCAUUCUUUGGAGAAUACUCAACCCACUUAUCACAAGCAUGGAUUCUUGAACCAAGAUAUCUUUCAAAAGAAGGAAAAAAGGCCAAGUUUCCACACAAUACCAUGAAAGAGGGGAGACUUACAAUCUCACUAACUAGAAUGCUAUGCCUUUUUGUGUCACAAAUUUAGCGUUAUGUUAAGCAAUCGUAAUUGAACUCAUGUAGAAGUCACAACUAUUUGAGGUCGGGUAAUAGAAUUUUGGUGUUAAUGCAUGUUAAAGACAUAGUAUAAUGGACUAUGCUCAUGAAACAUACCACACACAAAAGAAUAUGCAAAAGAGGUGGCCUAAUCUCAUCCAUACUUAUGUUGAUUUUUCAAUCAACUAGCCUUAGGACUUUGAGAUAUCAUAGGCCAAAUGAGAUGAAUGCAUAAAGAAUGGGAAUGGGAUGAAGAGGGAGGGGAAUGGAUCAAAACUCAAAUUGGUCAAAGGAGGACUUUUACCAAAUUAAUAUCAUCCAUUCAUUUUGGAAGAUGGAAUGUACAUUCCAUCAAUCCCCUAAAUCCAAUGAUAUAAAUUGGUCAAAGGAGGACUUUUACCAAAUUAAUAUCAUCCAUUCAUUUUGGAAGAUGGAAUGUACAUUCCAUCAAUCCCCUAAAUCCAAUGAUAUUAACUUGACAAAGUCAAAUCAACCUUGACCAAUGCCCAACAACAAGAGUCAAACUCAAAUAAGUCAUCAUAAUUGGUCAACACAAUUAAUUGGCAUUUUUUCAAAUUAAAAAGACUAAAAUAAUACAUUUUAAUUAAUAUAUGGUUUGUCAAAUUCCUAAAACCUCAUCAAAACACCAAUGAAAUGGCCAUGAGAUUUAUCAUAGGUCAAACAAGGUCAAAGGACCUUGGAGAAAAUAUUUCAGAAUUUUUAAAGACUUAAAAGUAUUUUUAAACAAUUAAAAACAAACACAAAAUCAAUUAAAUCAUGAAGAAUAUUAAUAAUGAUCCAAAAAAUAAUUUUAAUUCAAAAUAUGAAAAAGGAAAUUAUUUUAAAUUUUUUGGUGAAACUCUCAUAUUUUUUGGAUCAAUAUUAAAAUUAAUAUGAAUUAAUGAAAAUAAAAGGAAUAAAGUAAAAUCAGAAAAUAUUAAAAAUACAUGAGCCACUUGAUCUCCUUCAUUAAUUAAGGUGGCAGAUCAAGUGGCCUGAAAUGCGCAUUCCACCAAACACACGAGUCAGCACGCUGCAGGGAUGGUAAUCACAAUGAGCGCUCUGGAUUAAAACAAAUUGGAUGGAUCCUAUGGCUGGGAGACGUGUCAACGCACCGCCGGAGCUGUAACUCCGAUCUUCUUCUCUGGUGGACCUCACCGGACUAGUCCACCCUCAACCAUCACCAAAAUAAAAAAGGAGGACAUUAUCUGAAAGAAGAAUGGCGUAAAGCACGAAUCUGACCUUAAUUUUAACUAACUCCACAUAUAUAGAAAGAUAUGAGGAGUUCAAUUUUGAGGUGUGUCAACUGAGUUGCUUAGAUUUGACCUCUAAGCAACUCAAUCUUCUUGCCUACAUUGGUAGGACUUCAAACAACCAAAGAUAUAAGAGAAUUGAGUAGAAUUGAGUGAGAAUCGAAGAGAUGAAAUUUUCUGAAAAUUACCUUCAAUGUUAUGUAGAACUUGAUGUUGCUUGCUUCAAACACAGUCUGAUCACACUUGAGAAGUUAGCAGGAAGUGAUUGGAGAGGUUGCAAGGCUAUGGAUCCUGGAGUUCUUGAAUCUCCAACAGUUGAGAUUCAAACUCAAAUUUCAAAUUGAAAUUUCUCAGGUUUUCCUUUAGAAUGAGAGGGUUUGAAUUGGGGGGCAAAGUUGGCGCGCAAGGUGUGAUUCAAAUGAGCUCAUAAGCCUUCUAUUUAUAGCCAAAGGGAAUGAUAUUUGCACACUUCAAAAUCUGUCCAAAAUUGGCAAUGUGAAUGGCAUGAGUGCAUGGGCAUGUACAGGCCCAUGAUGCAAUGCAUUAAGGUCCAAAAGGAAUGAUAUUUGCACACUUCAAAAUCUGUCCAAAAUUGGCAAUGUGAAUGGCAUGAGUGCAUGGGCAUGUACAGGCCCAUGAUGCAAUGCAUUAAGGUCCAAAAUGAUUCAUGUUGAAGUCUGAAUAAAGCUUGAAUGGCAAGGCAAUGUGAAUUGAAGUUUGUACAUUUGAUUCUUUCCACUGAUGCAGCCCCGUUAAAGCCAUGCGCAGACCUAGCAAUCUUCAUCCAAAAUGCACGAACUUGGGCUCUUUGGAAAUCUUGGAUCAAGGGGAACAAGUUUUAUGUUCAACACUUUUUCAUUUGGAGCUUGGAACAUGGAGAAUUUUGAGGUGGAUGUUUGGAAAUUUCAACAUGUUGAAAUUUUUUCUAAGUGUAAAGUCAUAUAUCUCAAUAUUCCACCUUAGUUAACUUUCUAUGUGAGUUUCAAAUGAGAAAUAUGUCUUUAUAAAAGUUGUAGCUAUUUCAAAGACCUUCAAAAUCAUCACCCAGUUCAUGUCAUUUGGAUUUAGAAUGAUAGAGUUAUGCAUUUUUGAAGUUUGGAAAAAUCACUUGUUCAAUGGUAUAGGUCAAAAAUGACCUAUAAUGUAUCCUCAUAUCACAUGCUCAUAAAAGUUGAAAUUUAGAAUGAUAGAGUUAUGCAUUUUUGAAGUUUGGAAAAAUCACUUGUUCAAUGGUAUAGGUCAAAAAUGACCUAUAAUGUAUCCUCAUAUCACAUGCUCAUAAAAGUUGAAUUUUCUUCCACUCUAAACAUCAAAGUUAAAGUAGACAUCUUGAAUUUGAUUGUGCAACUUGAAAAUCUUUCAUCUCAUAAAAAUUGAGCAAAUUAUGGCCUUAGGAAGUUGACUUUCAAAUUAGGGUUUAGACAAAAUGACCUAUAAUGUUUCAACAUAGAAAAUGAUUUUCCAAGCAAAACUAGCUCUAGGUUACAACAUGAACAUGGUUUGAAAUGCCAUUUAGAGUAACUUUUCUCUUGGAAUCAUUUUCAUAUGGUGAAAAUUGUAGGAGAUAGGGCCUAGGAAGACCCAGUUUUGAUCAGAUGAAUUCAUCUGGCCAACCACCAUCAACCAACUUGUGAACCUUCAAUUCUCUUGACUUUCUAGGCUCAUGGUAGAUCAUAUAUGCAUAAGAUGAUGAAUUUUGAAGUGUCCCUUGAUAAAUUUGAUCAAUUGGUGAGAUAGCUUGUUGGAGAAGUUACUCAAGAUACCCCGUCAAACUAGGGUUUCCAAGGCAAAUCACCAUCAAACUCUUGAAGAAUACUUGAUCAAUAUAACAUGUAGGAACAAAUGUAACUCAUAUAUGAUGCUCAUAACCAUUCUUGGAUCAAUUCAUGGUUGUGCUCUUUGUCAUGAGGGUCUCAAACCCUAGAUAUGAACUUGAUAAAUCAAUGGGAUCAUGCCUUUCCUACAAAAGAGUUAGGCAAAUGCAAAGACAUAUUUUUGGUAUUUUGGUUAGUAAAAUGAUAAUGUACAAGUAUGAUACAAUCACAUAGUGCUUGGUGAUCUCUCCCAAAACCAACCCAAUGAAAGAGGGGUAAGGAGGAUGCCAAGGUAUGAUCCCAAUACUAAUGCUUAUGAUGAAAUUGCAUGAGAUGGAGGGAAUUGGCUGCUCAGAUCACUCCUCCCUUAGAGGAAAAAGAGAUGACAAAGAUCUUUCUGAAGACCCUAAGUUUAUUUUAUUAUGAAUGUAUGAUUGCUAAUGCCCCCAAUGACUUUACCGAAAUGGUAAACAUGGGGGUGAGGCUUGAGGAAGGAGUCCGAGAAGGACGAUUGUCAAAAGAUGAAGCAUCGUCAAGUAAGUGGUGCGACAAUAGUUUUGGGAAGAAAAAAGACAACGAAGCUAAUGCAGUAAUCAGUGGGAGGCAGAGGAGGCCUCAAAUCAGGAGGAGUCAACCAUCCCGUCAACAUCAUCAUCAAGUAUCUUCAGUCAUUCCAGUAUUCUCUAAUAAUCAAUGAAGACCAGUUCAACAACAACAACGUUAACAACAACCGCAACAACGAACGAACACCUACAACAACAACAAUACCAACAACAAUCAUCGUCAACAAAACUUUAAGAGGAAUAAGGUCUCUUUCGACCCGAUUCCUAUGUCAUAUGCAGAACUGUCAUCUUUGGUUCUCAAGAACCUAAUCCAACCAAGAAACCCGUCGUAGAUUCCAAAACCACUUCACUGGUGGUACAAACCUGAACUUCGUUGUGCUUUUCAUCAAGGGGCACCCGGACAUGAUAUAGAGAACUGUUAUCUGCUCAAGUAUGAGGUUCAAAAGCUAAUGAAGAGUGGAAUGGUGUCCUUUGAGGUCCGAGUGCCGAAUGUGAAAGAUAAUCCAUUACCCACCCAUGGAAAUUCUUCUGUGAAUAUGGUGGAUGGUUAUCCUGGUGUUACCACGAAAUAUCCCUAAGGCAGGUUGAAAGCACAAGUAAUGGAAGAGUCCUAUGAUUAUGGGGAUCAUACCCUACCCAAAGAUAAAAGAUGUCGAACGCAAUCAAGAAAGAAAAGCAGACUAAAAGAGAAGGUCGACAGGAAACGACGGCUCCGUCGGCAGGUCAUUUUGUCGACCAACGCUAGGUUUGGGACUUAAGGAAUUCUAAGCAAAGGUGCAGAAGACAGCUUCGCCCUAACAUCUGGGCGGGAGAAAUUUGAAAUUUAAAAUAAAAUAGCAGUUCCAAAAGGAAAAAGAGCGCCACAAUGUGGAGCAGUUAGGAAGACAUGAGUGCAGCGGUUAUGCAAAUCGUGGGUCAUAACAUCUGCUAGCUUCUAGGAAAUUAUUUUAGGAGUAGUUCCUCUAGUUUAGUAUAAAUAGGAGUAUCCCACAAGGGGAUAGAGGUGUUCACUUUGUACUACGAAAUCCCUUGUAAGAAAACUUCCCAUUCCCAGCGCGAGGAAGCAAGAGUUUCUCUGAGAGUGUUAUGUACGUGAAUCACCACAUUUAUUUCAAUGUAACUUCCCUACUUUUCAAUUGUUCCCGUUGAACAUUUUAUCUUAAUUUAUUUUGUUUUUGAGUUAUCAUUUUACGUUGUCGUUUACGCUGUCGACACCGACUCUAUCACGAUCAUAGAGUUUACCAAAAGCGUGUUCGUAGUAUACAUCUUUUGAAUGUUAUAGCGCUGUCGGUCACGAGUCACCUACAGGCGGUAACAUUGUCUAAAACCGUUCGUGUGGAAAACCCUUGUUCGACACUUUGUUGGGAGCCAUUCCUCACAAAGUCAUUUCGUCGAAAGUUGAACAAGUAUCACUUGCACUAGCACAUGUCCUAGGAUCAACUGGUCGAUCCUGCAAGUAACCCUUCGUUUUAAGACCAGGGAGGACCAGCAGUUGUUUACCAAUUUCCAAAGUAAACAAAAUGGCACGCCCACUGGGACGGUGCUAGAGCAGUUGCGAAAUUGCAUGAAACUUAGAAUUGGCAAGCUGUAUAGUAAGCCACGAAGUAGUGUGAAAAUGUCAGAAACUAACACUGAUGAAGUUCCACGAGGAACUUUAUCCAAUACAUAAACAGUAGUUUCACAAGUUGUCACUUUGCCGCCGAUGACAAAUGCAACCUUAACCAUGUCGACUACGGGUGCGGUUGGAACAUCAAUUCCUCAGCCUCCACUGGGGGGUUCAGGAUCAACGAUAACGACGUUCAGACCUUAUGUGCCUCGCUUUGGCACCACAGAUCCGCUUUAUGGAAUGCCGUAUUCCUUAAUGCCAGGAUAUCAGUCAACAUCCAGUGCAACACUGUUUUCAGAAACAAAUCCUCUCUUGCCAGGAUCAGCGCAAGGGGGCAACAUAAGAAACACUACACAGAACAGAACCAUGCCACUGUCGAACACUUCAGUAGCGGUGUUGAGACAGGAAAUGGACGAUAGUAACCAUGAAUUGGUUAACAUGUUGACUAACUAGAUGGGCACAGUCUUCAAUCCACUAAUCCAAGAAUCUGCUGAAACAAACAGGCAGGUGGCGAACCAAUUGACGCGUCUAUGCAAUUUUCUGGGGGCACCGGCCCGACAGAUAACGCCAACGAUUAGACCGACGGUUCCUGUGCAGAUAGAGAUAGGGGCAGCAGAGGAGGAGACAGUCCAAGAAGGACAAGUCAUUAGACCCCUCCAACAUCAAGGCGUCGAAUCAGGAGUUGUGGGACGUAACCAGGUGGUAAUGGUCAACCGACAGCAGGAUGCUGAUCAAAUCGUCGAUCAACACCGACAAGAAGACUUGGCGGUACCAGGUGGUAAUGGUCAACCGACAGCAGGAUGCUGAUCAAAUCGUCGAUCAACACCGACAAGAAGACUUGGCGGUGGAAAAUAAUUUGACAACUAUUGUCGAAAGGAUUAUGGCUAGAAAUGGCAUGAGUGCUACAUUACAAAGGCCAUUGUACGUGUCCCCGUUAGCCGAAUUUAUUCUCCAAGUUGAGGCGCCUAGGGGGAUGAAAGUGCCAAAAUACACAAAAUUUGGGGGAGAGUCUGGUGAAUCGACAAUAGAGCAUGUCGCCAGAUACUUAACAGAGUCAGAGGAUUUAGCUCAUAACGAAUGUUUAAGAGUAAAAAACUUCCCCUCCUCUCUAACCAAGGCUGCCUUCACAUGGUUUACUUCGUUGGCCCCUAGUUCAAUCGACUCAUGGGCCAAAUUAGAAAAGAAGUUCCAUGAACAGUUUUACGAAGGACAUUCCAAAAUCAGUUUGGCAGAAUUGUCUAGUAUUAAGAGAAGGUUCGCUGAGAGCGUAGAUGAUUAUCUGAAUCGGUUUAGGUAUUUAAAAGCUAGGUGUUUCAUACAAGUGCCAGAACAUGAACUAGUUCAAAUGGCCCUAGGAGGAUUAAAUUACUCCAUUAGGAAGAAAAUAGAUCCAACUUUUGUGAAAAGUAUGUCACAAUUGGCUGACAGAGUCUGACACCUAGAACGAUUGAGGCUAGAGAAAGUUAGGCACAAUAAGUCUAAGAAGGAAAAGGUAGCGUUUGUCGAAUACGACGCGACGGACCCAAUAUGUGAGGCAGAUUAUGCUUCAUCGACCGAAUUAGAAAUCGACGUGGUUGAACUAAAGCCAGGAUCCACUUAUGAGUGUCGCUCAUUGUUGCCUGCGCAAGGCAAGAAUCCUGUCGAAAACAACCCAAAAUUCCCUUCGAAAACUUACACUUUCGACGUGUCGAAGUGUGAGGAAAUUUUUGACUUAUUAGUCAAAGAUGGACAGAUGGUAGUGCCGCCUGGUACUAAAAUGCCACCGUUGGAACAAAGACAGAAAAGAGGGUUUUGUAAAUAUCAAAACUAUCUUGGUCAUAACACCUCUAAUUGUUACCUUUUCAGGGAUUUGGUUCAAAAAGCGAUUCAAGAAGGCAGGCUGAAGUUUGCUGGCCGCAGGAUGAAGGUCAACACUGACCCUCUUCACCAGGAGGAAGCCCUGUUCGUGGAACCAGUCGAGAUCAACAUGGUCGAGAUCAGCGAAUAUGAUGAGGCCAACAUGCUGGACCAAACUAGGGAAAGCCCAGAUGUUGAUAUGGCCGAAAUUUACCCAAGAGCUGAUGAAGACUUGGUAGAUUUUCUGUAUCGCUGCAAGAACAAGGGUUCACGGGUGUGCCUGUGCCCAAGGUGUGGAGCUGUCACCGACAAAAUAGCAGCAGAGAAUUUCCAGAAGCUGCAGCUGGGUAAGAGCAAAAGAAAUGUGCCAACCCGGGGUUAUCAGAAUGAAAGAGGCUCAAAAAAGGCUGUGGGAAAUAACUCAACAAGGCCCAGGAGCUUCGUGCCGUCGGCCAGUACUCCUCGAGGUACUUGGAUCAAACCUCAGGGAAGACAAGACACCCCACAAGGGGCCGCCGCUGAGGCUAGAGGAAGUCUAGUAGUUAACUACCGGCGUGAAUUUAAGUCUGAAAAGAGGACUCAUAUCUCUGAAAACUAUUUGGGAAAAAAUCCCAUGACGAGGACUUAAUGGAGACAAUUUCAGAGGCGUAAACAGGCUGAAAGAGACGAUGUGAGGGGCAUGACCAGUGAGGCAAAUGCUGGGAAGAAAAUGGUUAUGAAAGUCGACACAGCGGCGAAGGAACGGAUAAGAGAGUACGUCUGUCGACCAGCAGAAAAAUGUUUUGAUGGUGUAACUGACGACUUCAAUUCAGAAUCUGAAGCAAGCCUCGACAUCUUGGUCAACAUGGUAUCAAUUUUACCACAAGAAUACAAAUGUGUAACUGAAGUCGAAGGGUCAGUGGACAAUGAUGAAGCUGAAGAAAUGGCUUUUCAUCAACCAAGAUGCUAUUUUAUGAUGAACGAUGGUUCUGCUGAAAGCCAAGAGGCAGUGUUCGAAAGACCUAUGAUGAACAUGAAGAACCAUCUGAAACCACUGUUGAUCAGGGCAAAGGUGGAAGGCAUAACCAUCAACAAAAUUUUAGUCGACUGUGGUGCCACAGUAAACAUUAUUCCACACCAUAUUCUGAGGAAGAUUGGAAAGUACGACACCGACAUCAGGUCUAAUAACGUGGUUUUGUCGGACUAUGGAGGGAAAACGAAAAGCACCAUGGGAGUAAUUAUGGUGAAUGUUACGGUGUGACCAGACCGACACUAUUCAUGGUGAUCAACACAAAGCCAAGUUACAACUUGCUACUUGGCAGAGAGUGGCUACAUGGCGUCGGAGCUGUGCCCUCUUCAGCACACCAAAGACUGGUGAUUUGGAGAGAGGAUGGGGUGGCCGAAAACAUCGAGGCCGACCAAAGCCAAGUUACAACUUGCUACUUGGCAGAGAGUGGCUACAUGGCGUCGGAGCUGUGCCCUCUUCAGCACACCAAAGACUGGUGAUUUGGAGAGAGGAUGGGGUGGCCGAAAACAUCGAGGCCGACCAAUGAUAUAUUUUGUGGCCGAUGUUAAUAAUGUCAGCAAGAAGGAGUUUGAAAGAAAGUUGGCCAACAUCUCUCCUUGCUUCCCAACUGAGGAUGUUUAUGCUAAUCUGAGUGAAGCUUUCGUCUCGCUGACGCUACAUGAAACCCAUGGUUUCGUUUGGGAUAUGGAACGCCUAGAUGAUCCACCAUACACAGGUAUCCGGCCGACAGGCUGGGGGGAUGCCAGUGAUGAUGUCUGAGUUAGAAGCUUUGAGAAGGAUUUCGGCAUACGUUGCCGAAAACAAAAUAAAGUCGGCCAUAGAGGCUGAAGAAAACAUGGCUGUUGAGGCCUAUGCGUUGAGUAAAGGGGACUUCGACAUGCAGCGUCUAGAUUGCAUUUACGACAGUGAACCUUUAGGGUUCGAAAAAGACCCAAAGGCACCAGAGAGAAUCCGACCAAAAGAUCCCUUGGAAGAAGUCGACCUUGGCGAGAAUGGAGAGAAAAGGCCAACAUAUAUAAGCGCUAACAUCAACAACAAACUAAAGUCUGAGGUAAUAUCCAUACUUAAAUAAUUUAGAGAUUCUUUUGCUUGGGAUUAUAAUAAAAUGCCUGGUUUAAGUAGAGAUUUGGUCAAGUUAAAGUUGCCCAUAAAAGCUGGUAGAAAGCCAGUGAAACAAACGCCCAGGCGUUUCGCCCCAGAGAUUAUGGCAAAGAUAAAAACAGAAAUAGAAAGACUCUUGAAAAGCAAGUUCAUCCAAACUGCAAGGUACGUCGAAUGGUUGGCUAAUAUUGUGCCAGUCAUAAAGAAAAAUGGGUCUUUAAGGGUAUGCAUUGAUUUCAGAGAUCUAAAUGUUGCCACCCCAAAAGAUGAAUAUGCCAUGCCCGUGGGUGAAAUGCUAGUCGAUUCGGCCGCUGGUUUUGAAUAUCUAAGCAUGUUAGAUGGUUAUGCUGGAUAUAACCAAAUUUUUAUUGCAGAAGAAGACGUGUCAAAGACGGUGUUUCGAUGUCCAGGAGCCUUAGGGACAUAUGAAUGGGUGGUUAUGCCAUUCGGCCUGAAAAAUGCCGGAGCAACAUACCAGAGGGUAAUGAACUCAAUGUUCCAUGACUUCAUUAAAGAUUUCAUGCAAGUCUACAUUGAUGACAUUGUGAUAAAAUCAAAUGGACAACAUACUCAUGUCGACCAUCUACGAAAAGCCUUCCUAAGGAUGAGGAAAUGUGGAUUAAAAAUGAAUCCAUUAAAAUGCGCUUUUUGUGUGCAAGCGGGCGACUUCCUUGGUUUUGUGGUGCACAAAAAGGGCAUUAAAAUGCGCAUUAUGGACGUCAGGCCUCCGUCGACCAAAAAGGAGCUGCAAUCCUUUUUGGGAAAAAUCAAUUUCCUUAGAAGAUUCAUAUCAAAUCUAAGUGGCAAAACAAAAGCGUUCUCCCCGCUACUUCGACUGAAGAGCGAAGAGUUCAAAUGGCAGGAUGCACACCAAGAGGCUUUCGACAAAAUCAAAGAAUAUUUGACUAAGCCUCCAGUAUUGGCCCCUCAUGUUAGGCAUAGGCCAAUGAGGUUGUAUAUUGCAGCCUCACAAUCGACUAUAGGAAGCAUGUUAGUCCAAGAGGAUGAAAAUUGUGUCGAAAGACCUGUGUAUUACCUUAGUCGAAUGUUGAAUGAUCCUGAAACUAGGUACAGUGACAUUGAAAAACUAUGCUUGUGCCUGUAUUUCUCUUGUACGAAAUUAAAGCAAUAUAUUAAGCCUGUUGAUGUUUACGUAUCUUCUCAUUUUGAUAUUAUUAAACAUAUGUUAUCUAAACCAAUUUUGCAUAGUCGAAUUGGAAAAUGGGCUUUAGCGUUACAGAAUACUCCCUGACAUACGUACCCUUGAAAGCAAUGAAAGGGCAGGUAGUAGCAGACUUCCUGGUCGACCAUUCAAUGGUCGAAAUGGCGCAGGAUUGCGUGGAUUUAGCACCAUGGAGGCUAUACUUCAAUGGAUCAAGACAUAAGCAUGGAGUUGGGAUAGGAGGAGUCAUAAUUUCUCCAAAUGGAAUUCCAGCAGACUUCAAAUACAAAAUCGAAGGGAUAUGCACCAAUAAUGAAGCAGAAUACGAGUCAUUGAUCACCGGACUUGAACUACUGCUGGAAUUGGGGGCAAGGAAUGUCGAAAUUAUGGGAGAUUUGGAGUUAGUUAUUAAACAAGUAUCAAAAGAGUAUAGGCGUGUUAAAGAAAAUCUGAUUAUGUACUUCGUGGUUACCAUAAGACUGCUCAAGAGAUUUGAGCAAGUCAAUCUCCAACACAUACCGCGGCAGGAAAACCAAAGAGCAAAUGAUUUGGCACAGGAAGCUUCAGGGUAUAAAACGUCGAGAAACCAGGACGAAGAGAUCCAAGUAAGAAAGAAAAUACAGGCGACGACACUGUCACCAUCAGAUCUGGCGAUCAUGAAGCUAGGGGCAGUAGAUAAAAAUCAUUUUGAAAUUCUGACUGUCGACGACGAAGGAAGGAGUGAUUGGCGUAGACCGUUAGUCGACUACUUACGUAAUCCCGUGGGGUCGACAGAUCGAAAGAUAAAAUAUAGGGCCCUUAGCUAUGUCUUGGUAAAUGAUGAAUUAUUCAAGAAGACAGUCGAAGGAGUGUUAUUAAAAUGCCUGGGGGAAAGUGAAGCGUACGUGGCUGUGUCGAGCACACACAGCGGGGCAUGUGGGGCGCAUCAAGCAGGUUUGAAGAUGAAAUGGCUUUUGAUGCGUUCAGGAGUUUAUUGGCCUUCAAUGUUGAAAGAUUGCAUUGAAUUUGCCAAAGGUUGUCAAGAAUGCCAAGUGCAUGGGGGCAUACAGCAUGUGCCUGCAAGUGAGCUACACACAAUUGUGAAACCUUGGUCAUUUUGAGGAUGGGCUUUGGACGUUAUAGGAGAAAUAAAGCCAGCCUCGUCGAAACAACAAAGGUAUGUGUUAGUCGGCAUCAACUAUUUCACAAAAUGGGUCGAAGCCAUAGCAUUACAAAAUGUAAACCAAGAAAAUGUGAUAGAUUUUGUCCAGAGUUACAUCAUUUGCAGAUUUGGCAUCCCAGAAACUAUUACAACCGACCAGGGGUCAGUCUUCACUGGUCAAAAAGUGCAAGAGUUUGCAAAAGAAAUGGGAAUUAAGCUACUGACAUCUACUCCCUAUUACGCACAGGCAAAUGGCCAAGUAGAAGCUGCUAAUAAGGUAAUCAUUAGCCUAAUAAAGAAACACAUAGGACAGAAGCCAAGAAAUUGGCACAAGACGUUAGACCAAGCCCUGUGGGCAUGUCGAACAUCACCAAAGGAGGCAACUGGAACAACCCCAUUUCGACUGACUUAUGGGCAUGACGCAGUACUGCCAGUAGAAAUUCAGGUUUAGGCGGUCAGAACCCAAAGGCAGUGUGAAAUACCCUCUGAAGAUUACUGGAGCAUGAUGACAGACGGACUAGUCGACGUAGACGAAGAAAGAAUGCUAGCACUAGACUCUCUACAAAGGCAGAAAGAGAAAGUCGCUCGAGCCUACAACAAAAGGGUGAAAGGGAAAAUGUUUGUUGUCGACGAUUUGGUUUGGAGGGUGAUCUUGCCUAUGGACAGAAACGAUAAAACGUUGGGUAAGUGGUCCCCAAAUUGGGAAGGACCGUUUAAGGUUGUCCAGGUUUUUUCUAAUAACGCCUACGAGGUCGAAGAGUUGGCACCAGACAGACGAAUUUUAAGAGUGAAUGGAAAAUACUUGAAAAAAUAUAGGCCUCUCCUUCAAGAGGUCAGAAUUUUGGCAGAAUAAAAUAAAUGUCGAAAAAUAAAGUUGGAAAUAAUUAUGUUAGAUACCAGCUGCAAAGGUACGGAAAAUAAAUAGAAAAUGCUAUAGGGCAAGAAAGAUAACAUUAAGGUGGCGAGAAGCCAUUGUUUAAACAUUACAAUAAUUUUUUGUACAAUCAAUGAAACCGGUCAAAGCUGGCCGAACUUGGAUUGGAAGGAUUUGAGUUCGAAAUUGUAGUGCAUAGACGCGGGCUCCAGGGUGUCGGCAUAGGCUUUAAGCUUCUCGAGUUUCCCUUCGACGGCCAUAAGUUCCUCACCGACCAAUAAGGCAUCAUUGGAAGUCUGUUCCACAGUAGCUUGAGCAGGCUGUAGCACUUCGUCGACAAAACGGGACUCUUCCUUAACAAUUGAGUCCAACUCAUUAUCCAAGGCAGCAAUUUGACGCCGAAGGGCGUCGAUUUAUCGACGCAGCUCAGCGGCUCUUGUUUGCUUCAAAGUCAAUUCCUUCUGCCGCUCCUCCAUAGCCUUCAACAUACUGGUAACCUUCGUGUCGGCACGCAUCACCAAUUCCCAUUUUUCCUUCACAGAGGCAUCAGUAUCAGCAAUUUGGCGCUCAGUGUCCCGAACGCUGUCAAUAUGCCGCAACAUAGGCACUAAGAUUUCUUCUAGAGCCACCAUUGCACGUCUGGCAUAAUCAGAGAUGUGGAGAUCCUUUAGCUGGGCGAGUGCACUCAAGAUUUCUGGACCGACAGCAGGUUCAUGCAUAAGCACGAAGGGAAGGUCAGAGUUCAAAGCGUGCACACGGAUUUUGUCCAUAAGAGCCUUAGUUUUCGUCGCCUCAGGGCCCACUUUGCCAGAAUGGAGUUGCUCAGAGUCCGAAGAAAUAUCAUGCGAUUUCACCAGAUUGCGUAGCCUGGCAAUUGCUUCCAAAGUAGAAGGUUUGAUCGCCAGCCCCUGGAAGGUCGUAGAAGAAACUGCUGACGGAGUAGGUUGAAGGGGAGAAGCAGUUGACAAUGGAGUAGCUUGGGAGGAUUGUUGUUUGUUGGUGUCGACACCGACUGGCUCCCGUAAAUCCUGCAAGGAAGCUGAGGAGAGACUCGAGUCAGAACUAGUCGAACUGGAAUCCAGAUGUGUUGACACCGACUGGCUCCCGUAAAUCCUGCAAGGAAGCUGAGGAGAGACUCGAGUCAGAACUAGUCGAACUGGAAUCCAGAUGUGUUGCAGGACUAGUGACUGAGUCAGAAUCACUGUCACUAAUUUGGAGAGGAAAUUCGAUGGACUCACCAGUAGUGUCGACGGAUUGAAAGGGACAAUUUGAAGAAGAGACCGGCGACGCAGGAGUAUAAUCAGCAACAGGCUGAGUCGGUUCAGUAGAAAUAUCAGCCUGUAGAAGGAAGAAUUGAGUAAGAAAAGCGCAACAAAGAAUCCAAAGGAAUAAAUAGGAAUACGGAUAAUACCUGUAUUGAUGCAUGGGAAACUACAUCCUGAUGUGUGUCCCCCAAGGAAGUAGCAGGGGAAGGACCAAUCGACGGCGAAGCUCCCACGACUGGAACAGGGGCCGCACCGAGGGCUGAAGCGUCGACUAGAGGAGUGUCGGCAUCUUGGACAGGAAGCUCUGAGGGAGGCGUUACAUGACGCCUCUUCCUUUUAUGGUCGCCACUCUUGGAAGGAGAAUCAUGUUUCUUCCUCUUAUGGCCAUGAUGACUUUUGGAUUUGUGUUGCAAGGUGUGCUGAAGACACGAAGAGAGGUUAUAAGCAAAUAGUCUAGCCAAAAGAGCAGACGUGCCGACAAGAAAUACCUCAGAGCCCGCGGGAGCAGAACGCUUAUGUUUUUUUGGAUUUUUUGGAGGAGGGAGAGACAGUAGGUUCUGUCGAAUGGGGUUGACCCUGCACAUAAACAAAAUAUUAGCAAUCACGUAAUGUUCCCCCUCCAGAAGGCAAAGGCAAAUAGAAAUGCUUUAGAGGAGUAUACAGAAGAACUGGUUUUUCUCAAGACUUGGGAAAUGGGGCGCCUAUCAUCGUCAGAAGAUUGCUCAAGAGCAUCCUGCAAGAAGAGAAAGAUGGUUAAGGAUAAAGUCAAGAUAAGAAGAAAUAGUACUUCAGCCAGAGUCAAACCUGAGCCUUCUGUGUCGAAGGAGUAGGUUGGUCAGCAGAUGCAGAGUAUGCAGGUUUCAGAGGGAGCGCUGCAAAUAAAUGAGAGAAACGUAAGUGAGCGAGGAAGUCCGGGUGGAAAGGAGUGUUCAAAUUUCCAAGAAAGUGUUACCAAGUUGCGUGGUUUCGAACACGCUAACAUAUCGAGGAUCGAUAUGGAGCGGCCCUGAGUAGUCAGGCAGAUAAUACUUCGUGGGGACCACUCUGUCGGCCUUUUUUCUCUUGGAGGCGUUUUGUACGUAUGAAAUAGGACAGUAAAACCACACCGGAACCAAAUGACCAAAGGCCAAAGCCAAAGGACUAGAUGGCAGAGGAGGGAACUUUAUUUUUCCAAAAUGAAGGGCAUACAAAUAUUUGCCUUUCACAUGAUCAGGGAUUUUGAGUUUUGGAAGUUGAUCGAUUAUUUUCGCUUUCAGUUUGACAGCAGCCUCUCGGAUGGUCCCACGAAGAUUAUCUGGUCGAUACACAACUUGGAAGUAGUUCUGGAAGGCACGAAUUUGUUUAACAUGAAGAGCCUUACAUUUAGUCGACUUCGCCUGCAAACAAACAAAAGCCUCAGUCAAUUCAACAAGUUUGGCAUCAGGAUCGCCAACAUAAAGGGAAAAAUAGGACUACCACCAAUCAUAAAAUUCUUUGGUACAAUAGUGGGUUGGUCGAAAAGAAAAGGAAGGGAGACGGGGUCAGUUUUUCCAAAUGUUUUCUAGUUCCUCUUCAACUUCGCUCCAAGGUUGGCCGCAAAGGAUAUUGACAAGUAACUCUUGAGAAGAAAACAGAGGUUUGGGGAUAAAUUGGCAAAGACCAAAUUGCCUGGCCACAAGGUUAGGCUGGUAAGCUACUAGACCUGGAUUGUUGCUGGCAGUCUCCGUCGACAAGAAGCGAGGGACCAAAAAUCGCCUCCAAAUGAGGAAGGAUUCAGUCUUUAUUUCUUCGUCAGUCGGAGGGAAAGGUCUGGUAAGCCACUCAGGACCCUCAGUUCGAUGGCAAAAAGGGGCCAUAGAGGGUAGGAAGUCGACACGAGUCAACAUUAUUUCGAAGAUAAGUCGAAACACUCGAAGGUCUGGAAAGUUCUUAUCGAUGGGUGUCAAGGGAAUCAACCUUUUCCAGAUAACAUGGCGUUCCUCUGGGGGACAUGCAACCCUCUUCAUCCCAUAUGGGGCUAUCUCUUUGGAGAAAGUGGCAUUGAGCCACAACUGUAGGAACCAGAAAGGACCAUGAACCAAUACGUUCUUCUUUCUAGAGUUCUCAGAGUCGAAGAGUCUAAUCUGGCAGACAACCUCGGAUAGAGACUCGUAGAGAGAGGCUAAUAUCAGUUGGCCUAAAGCGACAUCACGUCCUUGGUGCAACUAAGUCGCCAGGAGGGCAAAAUGCUUGGCUACUUGCAUCGACCGUGAGCAGAAGACGAAACGGGACAGCCAAAGGGUCAAGAAAGCCAUGUGUUCCUCGUCGGUCACAGGACCUGCAGAAGUGGCAUGAUGGUCAACGAAGUUGUUGUAUGUUGGUUUGCGAGAGUCGCCAACGUCGAAUUUCAAAGAAACUGGCGCCACAGCUUCGCAGUCGAAGACCUCACCAGACGGUCUCAAGCCAGUUAUGGCAGCGAUGUCUAGGAGUGUUGGCGUGAUCAUGCCACAUCUAGUAUGGAAGGAGUUGGUCGAACUCUCCCAAAAUUGAAGGGCGACUAAUAACAUGCCACAAUACUGGGGAGGGCCACAGCGGGCAAUCUGUAAGAGGGUAUAAAUGCAUGUUCUUUUCCAGUGGUCGAGUUUCUCCAUUUCCAACCGGUCCAUCCAAGCAUAAAACUUAGGACAAUUCCUGGGGGGAGCGGCUCUGAAGUUCCUAUCGACGUAUCGAAGGGAGAAGGGUUGUUGAGCAGAUAUCACAGGUUCAGAAAUGUGACUGGCGGGAAAAAGGGAAGAAUCAUUUUUGGUGAUCUCUGGGUGUCGGUUUUCUGGGAGAGGACCUAGAAACGCUAAGGGUUCAUUAGCCAGAGAAAAAGGAAUCAAUACCUGAGAAUGCCAUAUUUUCUCCUUUUCUUCUACCAAUGGAGGCUCAGGGACAUAUUCCCUGCCAUCAAUGUUGAUAGGGCGCGAGAGUUCAGCAGCUGAAGGUUUGUUGGAGGUGGCCAUGGAGAUAACAAGAGGGUUCUUCAUUAUGGAGUAGAAGAUGUUUUCAUAGAAAAAGCAGAAGACAAAUGAGGACAAAUGAAUACUGAAUCAAGAAUGCCAAAAAAGAGAAGAAGAAAGAAGAAUGAGGGUAUUAUAGCCCUUAAACCCUGAGCAAAGAAGAGGGAGCGGUUACACUUCCAUGGCCGACACAUACACUCACGUUCCCACGCCUACAGACACGUGGAGGAGAGAGGGUAAACAAAGAGACAAAACACGUUCAGUUUGGAGACGUGAAGUGAUGUAGACGUGAUUUUGUGCGUCUCGAGGAGAAGUAGAAACACUCGCCAUGAUUGUCUAACAUCACCUACGUGGGAUACACAGAGGCCCCACUAAGUAGAAGCGGGAACAAUAAAGGGUAAGCCGACAAUUUCAGAGAUGCCAUCAUCUCAUCAUCAUCAUCAACAGUCGAAAAUGGCAUCUCUGGGGGGCAUAUUGUUACCAUGAAAUAUCCCUAAGGCAGGUUGAAAGCACAAGUAAUGGAAGAGUCCUAUGAUUGUGGGGAUCAUACCCUACCCAAAGAUAAAAGAUGUCGAACGCAAUCAAGAAAGAAAAGCAAACUAAAAGAGGAGGUCGACAGGAAACGACGGCUCCGUCGGCAAGUCAUUUUUUCGACCAACGCUAGGUUUGGGACUUAAGGAAUUCUAAACAAAGGUGCAGAAGACAGCUUCGCCCUAACAUCUGGGCGGGAGAAAUUUGAAAUUUAAAAUAAAAUAGCAGUUCCAAAAGGAAAAAGAGCGCCACAACAUGGAGUAGUUAGCAAGACAUGGGUGCAACGGUUAUGCAAAUCGUGGGUCAUAACAUCUGCUAGCUUCUAGGAAAUUAUUUUAGGAGUAGUUCCUCUAGUUUAGUAUAAAUAGGAGUAUCCCACAAGGGGCUAGAGGUGUUCACUUUGUACUACGAAAUCACUUGUAAGAAAACUUCCCAUUCCCAGCGCGAGGAAGCAAGAGUUUCUCUGAGAGUGUUAUGUACGUGAAUCACCACAUUUAUUUCAAUGCAACUUCCCUACUUUUCAAUUGUUCCCGUUGAACAUUUUAUCUUAAUUUCUUUUGUUUUUGAGUUAUCAUUUUACAUUGUCGUUUACGCUGUCGACACUGACUCUAUCACGAUCAUAGAGUUUACCAAAAGCGUGUUCGUAGUAUACAUCUUUUGAAUGUUAUAGCGCUGUCGGUCACGAGUCACCUACAGGCGGUAACAUUGUCUAAAACCGUUCGUGUGGAAAACCCUUGUUCGACACUUUGUUGGGAGCCGUUCCUCACAAAGUCAUUUCGUCGAAAGUUGAACAAGUAUCACUUGUACUAGCACAUGUCCUAGGAUCAACUGGUCGAUCCUGCAAGUAACCCUUCGUUUUAAGACCAGGGAGGACCAGCGGUUGUUUACCAAUUUCCACAGUAAACACCUGGCGAAUUUAAAGUUUUUGAUGUUCUCUUUAUCCGGAGGUCCUUAGUGCAGAUGCAUAAGGACAUUUUUUUGGUGAGUGAUUGUGAGCAUGACCAUGAUGGUUGUGUUGUUUGAAGUGUUAAUUCAAGGGGUUGCGAGGUUGUGAAGAGGGACAUCCAACGUCUGAUGGACGAAGGCAUGAUUCAGAUUGUUCAAUCUUGUCAUGUAGAAGAUGAUGUAAAUGUCAAAGUGCCCAUUUUUAAGCAACCAAAAAGAUUGGUAAUUCAAUACAACAGUAGAAACAGUAACAAUGUGAGCAAUAGAUCAGUAUCGUCGUUGGUUAUACGAUUAGCGGUUGCAGUCCUGUAUUCAUCUGAUAAAGUUUUUCCAUAUCAGUAUAAUGCUACAAUGAUGAAGGAUAGUCAAGAGGUCCCAUUGCCUACGAUCAGCUCUGUAGUGAGCAUUGCUGAUGUUACCAAGGUGACCCGCAGUAGUCGUGUGUUUGGGUCGGUGUUCCCAAAGGAUAAAGAAGAAUCAGUUGUUAGUAAGAAGGUAGAAGUGCCUGCUGUGGAUCCGAUUAGUGCUUCAAAGAGUAAGUCUGGUGAAUUCAGCGAUUUGAAGGCUAAUGGUGAUGAUGAGGCACUUCGAUUGAUUAAGAGGAGCGAGUUUAAUGUGGUGGAGCAGCUGCUCCAAACCCCCUCAAAGAUCUCAGUGUUGUCUCUGCUCAUGAACUCAGAAGCACACAGAGAAGCACUGCAGAGAGUUCUAGAGCAAGCGUUUGUAGAACAUGAUGUUACAGUGGAUCAAUUCGAUCAUAUUGUGGCUAACAUCACUUCCUGUAACAAUCUUAGCUUUUGUGAUGAAGAACUCCCUGAGGAGGGCAGAAAUCAUAACUUGGCUUUGCAUAUCUCCAUGAAUUGCAAAGAGGAUGCUUUGUCUAAUGUGCUAGUUGACAUCGGGUCUUUGUUUAAUAUGCUACCAAAGUCAACUCUGUCAAAGCUAUCGUACUAAGGAGCGCCUAUGAGGUAUAGCGGUGUAAUUGUUAAAGCUUUUGACGGUUCGCACAAAACAGUUAUUGGUGAAGUGGACCUUCUAGUUAAGAUAGGUCCGAGUGAUUUUGAAAUUACUUUUCAAGUAAUGGAUAUCCACCCGGCCUACAGUUGCUUUUUGGGAAGGACAUGGAUCCAUGAGGCGGGAGCUGUUACCUCCACAUUGCAUCAGAAGCUCAAAUUUGUAAAGAAUGGAAAGCUUGUAAUCGUUGGUGGGGAGAAGGCGUUGUUGGUUAGCCACCUAUCAUCUUUCUCUUAUGUUGAAGCUGAGGAUAAGGUUGGAAAUUCGUUCCAUGCCUUAUCUAUUGCUUCUGAAAAGAGAGUUGGGGCACCUAUGUCCUCAUUGAAUGAUACAAAGAAGAUUAUUGAAGAAGGCAAUGUUGAUCAAUGGGGGCGCAUGGUAGAGGUCUCCGACAACAAAGGCAGAACCGGUUUGGGUUUUCAAUGAGAUUCAUGAAUUGCAAGGUCUAAAGACGUGCAACUUAGCUUUCGUAGCGGAGGGUUCAUUCAUGGCAAUGAACAACACUUAGCUGUUGUGCUAGAGGAUGACGAAGAGGAAGACUGCACCAAUUUUGUGACGCAUGGAAAGGCUUGCAACAAUUGAAAUCAUUAUGCAGGUUGGUUUCUAACCCCAUUGAAUACAAUGAUCCUUCUCCUUCUCCAAAUUUUGAAUUCCCUGUGUUUGAGGCCGAGGAGGAAAGUGAUGAAGAAGUGAGUGAUGAAUUAUCUCGCCUUCUUGAGCAAGAUGAAAAGACCACUCAGCUGUUCGAAGAGCAGAUUGAGCUAGUCAACUUGGGUUCUGACGAUGAUUUGAAGGAAGUCAAGAUUGGGUCUCAACUUUGUUCAGAUGUCAAGAAGGGGUUGAUUGAUCUUCUUCGAGAGUAUACGGAUGUGUUUGCUUGGUCCUAUCAAGACAUGCCUGGUUUGGAUUCUGAGAUUGUGGAGCAUAGAUUUCCUUUGAAGCCAGAGUGCCCGCCAGUAAAGCAAAAAUUGAGAAGAAUGCACCCUGAUAUGGCUGUGAAGAUCAAAGAAGAAGUGCAUAAACAUAUUCACAUCGGUUUCAUUGUAAUCAGUGAGUAUCCUCAAUGGGUGGCCAAUAUUGUGCCUGUACCGAAGAAAGAUGGAAAAGUCCACAUGUGUGUCGAUUAUAGAGAUUUGAAUAAAGCCAGUCCGAAAGAUGAUUUCCCUCUGCCACACAUUGAUAUGUCGGUAGACAAUACUACUAAAUUCAAAGUCUUUUCAUUUAUGGAUGGAUUUUCCGUAUAUAAUCAGAUCAAGAUGGCACCCGAAGAUAUGGAGAAGACCAUAUUCAUUACACCCUGGGGAAUAUUCUGUUAUAGAGUGAUGCCUUUCGGUUUAAAGAAUGCUGGUGCAACUUUCCAAAGAGCAAUGACUACUCUUUUUCAUGAUAUGAUGCAUAAAGAGAUUGAAGUAUAUGUCGAUGACAUGAUUGCUAAAUCAAUUGAUGAAGAGGAACAUGUUGAGCAUUUGUUGAAGCUAUUCCAGAAUAAAGAGAUUGAAGUAUAUGUCGAUGACAUGAUUGCUAAAUCAAUUGAUGAAGAGGAACAUGUUGAGCAUUUGUUGAAGCUAUUCCAGCGUUUGAGGAAGUAUAAACUCCACUUGAAUCCCAAUAAAUGUACUUUUGGUGUUCGUUCUGGUAAGUUAUUUGGCUUUAUUAUCAGCGAGAAGGUUAUUGAAGUUGAUCCUGCCAAGGUCAAAGCAAUACAAGAUAUGUUUGCGCCCAAAACUGAGAAGCAAGUCAGAGGUUUUCUCGGCCGCUUGAAUUAUAUUUCCAGAUUUAUUUCACACAUGACUACCAUAUGUGCACCUAUAUUCAAGCUUCUUCGGAAAGAUCAGUCUUGUGAUUGGACCAAAGAUUGCCAGAAGCUUUUGACAGUAUCAAAGAAUAUCUGCUUGAACCUCCAAUUUUGUCUCCACCUGUUGAAGGAAGACCGUUGAUCAUGUAUUUGACUGUGCUCGAAGAUAGUAUGGGUUGUGUUCUUGGUCAGCAAGAUGAGACUAGAAAGAAAGAAUUUGCAAUUUACUACCACAGUAAGAAGUUCACCGACUGUGAGACUCGGUAUUCUAUGCUUGAGAAGACUUGUUGCACAUUGGCUUGGGCUGCUAAGCGUUUGCGUCAGUAUAUGUUGAAUCAUACCACUUGGUUGAUAUCCAAAAUGGAUCCGAUCAAGUAUAUAUUUGAGAAGCCUGCUUUAAUAGGGAGAAUUACCCGUUGGCAGAUGUUGUUAUCAGAGUAUGAUAUCGAAUACCGAUCUUAGAAAACGAUCAAAGGUAGUAUCUUGGCUGACCAUUUGGCUCACCAACCUAUUGAAGAUUAUCAGUCAGUGCAGUAUGAUUUUCCCGAUGAAGAGAUCUUGUACUUGAAAAUGAAAGAUUGUGAUGAACCAUUGCUUGAAGAAGGGCCAGAACCUGGUUCCCGUUGGGGCAUGGUAUUUGAUGGAGCUGUUAAUCCAUAUGGUAAUGAUAUUGGGGUAGUGAUUAUUACUCCUCAAGGCACGCAUUUUCCAUUUACAGCUAGAUUGACUUUCAAGUGUACAAACAAUAUGGCAGAAUAUGAAGCUUGCGUUAUGGGGCUCGAAGAAGCCAUUGAUCUCAGAAUCAAGCAUUUAGAUGUCUUUGGAGAUUCAGCUUUGACUGUGAAUCAGAUUAAAGGUGAAUGGGAGACAAAUCAACCCGGUUUAAUACCAUACAGAGAUUAUGCGAGGAGGAUUUCAACUUUCUUUACAAAAGUUGAGUUUCAUCAUAUCCCUCAAGAUGAAAACCGGAUGGCAGAUGCUCUUGCAACGUUGGCAUCAAUGAUUGUAGUGAAGUAUUGGAAUGAGGUUCCCAAUUUGUCUGUGAUGCAUCUUGAUAGGCCAACUCAUGUGUUUGUUGUUGAAGAAGUCAAAUAUGAGAAACCGUGGUAUUACGACAUAAAAUGUUUCCUCCAAAGUCAGAUUCACCCAUCUGGGGCAUCAUUGAAAGAUAAGAAGACUUUGAGAAGAUUAGUUGGCAAUUUCUACUUGAAUGGUGAUAUACUGUACAAGAGAAACUUCAACAUGGUUCUGCUCAGAUGCGUGGAUAGACACGAAGCAUACUUGUUGAUGACUGAAGCGCAUGAAGGUUCCUUUGGUACUCAUUCCAAUGGACAUGUGAUGGCGAAGAAGAUGUUACGAGCAGGUUACUAUUGGCUGACAAUGGAAUCUGACUGUUGCAAGUUCGUGAAGAAAUGCCACAAGUGUCAAAUAUAUGCUGAUAAGAUUCAUGUUCCUUUGACACUAUUGAAUUUUAUUUCUUCCCCAUGGCCCUUUUCCAUGUGGGGAAUUGAUAUGAUUGGGAUGAUUGAGCCUAAAGCUUCGAAUGGACAUCGUUUCAUUUUAGUGGCAAUUGACUACUUCACAAGUGGGUUGUGAGGUUUAUCAAGAAUCAGAUCAUAUGCCGUUAUGGUGUGCCAAGUAAGAUCAUUACUGAUAAUGGAUCAAACUUGAACAACAAUAUGGUGGAAGCUCUUUGUAAAGACUUCAAGAUUGCACAUCAUAAUUCUUCUCCCUACAGACCUAAGAUGAAUGGGGCCGUUUAAGCUGCGAAUAAGAACAUCAAGAAGAUUAUUCAGAAGAUGGUUGUCACGUAUAAAGAUUGGCAUGAGAUGCUCCCAUUUGCUUUGCACGGGUAUCGUACAUCCAUCUGCACUUCAACAGGGGCGACCCCUUUCUCACUUGUUUAUGGCAUGGAAGCUGUCCUCCCAGUAGAGGUUGAGAUUCCUUCAUUGCGUAUGCUGAUGGAAGCCAAGUUGACUGAAGCUGAAUGGUGUCAGACCAGGAUUGAUUAGCUAAAUUUAAUUGAAGAGAAGAGAUUAACUUCCAUGUGUCAUGGUCAGUUAUAUCAGCAAAGGAUGAAGAAAGCUUUUGAUAAGAAGGUCAGACCUCGUGUGUUCAGAGAAGGUGACCUUGUGCUCAAGAAGAUUCUAUCUUUCAAACCAAAUUCUAUGGGCAAAUGGACUCCUAAUUAUGAAUGCCCAUAUGUUGUUAAGAGAGCCUUUUCAGGCGGAGCCUUGAUUCUUACAACUAUGGAUGGUGAAGAGUUCACUUGUCCUGUGAAUGCAGAUGCGGUCAAGAAAUACUUCGCCUAAAAAGAAAAGCACAACUCGCUAAGUUGAAAACCCGAAAGGGCGGCUUAGGCAAAAAUGAGCGUCUCGAUGGAUUGAAAACCCGAAAGGGCGAUCCAUGCAAAAAUUAGAGACAUAAAACAGAAAGAAUUUCCCGAUAAGUUGAGUACCCCACCUUGGGGCAACUUAUGCAAAAAUUAGGGAUUAUGGCAAGUAACUACAUUCUGCUGAUCUUCAAAUUUUGGAGAAACUUUAAGCAUAAGGGUUCACGUUGAUUCAUCAUCCCGACAGUGGUCAAGAGCAUAGAGGACUUCAAAAGUUGGCAGAAGGAUUAAGGAUCAUUUGUAUUCAGUGUAAUCCUUUUCCAUGUAAGUUACCAUUUUCAACUUUGUAAAGAUCUAUGGAGUCUUGUCAUUUACAGACUACCAUUCUAUUAAAUAAGGUUGAGCUUUUAUCCAAUUAUUUCUACUCUUAUUUACUUCAGCCAAUAGUUUUAAAUUUUAUUAUGAUCAUUUUUGAAAUUGAAAUCUUUAAUCAAAAUCAUUUUCUUAAACAUAUAAAAGCAAGUAUUUUCCAAAGCAACUAAAAAGAAGUAUCAACAGCAUUUCAAAGAGCAGCAAGUCUUAAGUGUGAAGCAUUAAGGGUUCCCAAAGCAGUUAACCCUUCGGGUAUCCUUAGCCGAGUUUGUUGACCCGGUUCCCUUGCGGAGUUGUGUUUGAUCUCCAGUGGAGCUUCAUUUCUUUUCCAACUGAGUUGGUUAAUUCAGUGCCCUGUAGUGUGUUAUUUCCCUGACAGAGUUUCUGCGUCCCCCGAUUGAAUUUGUGUAUUCCUCAGCAUUUUUUGAUCCUCAGUAGAGUAAUGAGACUCCCCAAUAGAUCGCGUUGGUUUCUCCACCAGUCGUCAUCCGACUUGCUCCCAAUCAGAGUUUCCUCCUAGUUUCUAAGAAGCUACUUGUGUUUAUCCUCUGUAUGGUUGUCUCCCAUUUUGAUAUGGUGUUGACCUAAAAUUCCCAACAGAUUUGGUAAAAUUUCCUCUCCUCGGUGGAUCUCCUCCUUCCUCAGCUAGAGUUGAGCCUUUGGGUUGUUGAUCUCUCUCUCUUUGUUUUCUAGCAGUUAUCUCCCUCUUGUUGUGGAUUGACCGAGGAUUGUAUCGAUGAUUCAAAUUCUUUACGACACCUUUGUAUCCUUUGUGAUCGUUUUGUCAGCAUAAUCAUCAUAUAUACAUAUACACCCAUAUAAUUUCAUAAUUGCAUCAUCAUAUUUGAUUGAUUUAUUUGAGAUUCUUAUUCUCUGUUAUGGCGGCACCUUAUCCCCAUACAAAUUCGGUGUCUGCCCUCCCUCAGUUGUAGAAUGUUAGCCCCUUAGGAAGAAAGACUUUAAUCUUUCUCCUUUUCCCCACUGAGUUAUUUCCUCGUGGAUGAUUAUUACUUCAGCUUCCUCCCUAGUUGUUUUUCUGGAUGGAAUCGCUCCCCUUGAGUUAUAUCCUCAUUGGGUUGAGUCUUGAUUGACCGAUUCUUUCUAGCUCUUGCCUCGAUAGAUGCUUUAAGUCUACUAAGAGCUUAUUACCCAGUAACUGGUAAUAUUCUUCUUAGUUUGCAGUUUGUUACUUCUUGCCCAAUACACGACAAAAGUAUCCCUGUUUUUCUAGCAGUAGAGUCCCCAGUGGAUUCGUUUUUCCUGAUUCCCCAGGAAGUAUAUCCUUGAUAUGUUCAUCCUAACCGGUGACAAAUAUCUUUCUUUCCCCUGCGUGAGUUUAUCCUUGAUAUGUUCAUCCUAAUCGAUGACAGAUACUCUCAUUUGUGGUAUUCUACCCAGUAAAAAGGUAGUUGUAAUCCCUAUUUUGUUCCCCAUAGAGUUAAUCCUUGAUAUGUUCAUCUUAACUGAUGACAAAUUUUCUUCUCCUUGUGGUAUUCUACCCAGUAACUGAUAGUUGUAAACCCUACUUUCUCCUCACAGAGUCCAUCCUUGAUAUGUUCAACCUAACCAGUGACGGAUUUUCUCUUUGAUGGUAUUCUAUCUAGUAGUCGAUAAAUGUAAUUCCUACUUUUUGUUCAGUUGGUAUAUCCUUGAUAUGUUCAUCCUAACCGAUGAUAGAUAUCCUCCUUGACAUUCCCGGGCAAGUCUAUCCUUGAUAUGUUCAUCCUAACUGAUGAUGGAUUUUCUUCCCUAUUGAGUUUAUCCUUGAUAUGUUCAUCCUAACCGAUGACGGAUACUCUCACCUUUGAUCUUCUGCCUAGUAACUGAUAGUUGUAAAUCCCAUUGUUCUGCAAUUUCCCCCAGCAAGGUUAUUCUUACCCAGUAGCCGGUAAUGAAUACUCCCUCCUGGUGGUUCCAAGUGAGUCAUCCUAGAUAUGUUCAUCCUAACCGGUGGGGAGUGUCCUCUCUAUCAUAUCUCUAUUAUCUCCUUACCCAGUAACAAAUAGUGGAUAAUAAAUUUCUACUCCUCCUGCAUUGAAGUUUAUCUUCCCCAGUCGAGUUAAGUGUGGAUUUCCUUAGUGAAAUUGCUUUUCCUGCAUGAUCUAAGUACUUCAGUGUUAUCCUGAUUUACUUGUAUCCCCUACAGAUGUUUUGUUUCCCUGGCUGAGUCUUUCCAUUUUGUAUGGAAUUCCUCUAGUCCCCCAGCAGUUUUAAGUUGUAGCUGGCCUAUGCAUAACUCUUUUCCCCCUUAGAGUCUUUGUCUCCUCAGUGAGUUUUUCUUAUGGAAUGCAUUAUACUCCUGCGGAUUUUCGGUCUCUCUAAUUUCUUUUCCUUUGUGGCAAUAUUUCCCCCACAGAGAAUUAACUUUUACAUUCAUAUCAUAUGCAUCAUGAGGUCUCUUAGGGACCAAAAUUUGUUUCUUUCUUUGUUGUUAUUUAAGCCCGUUCUACUGAGUCGAGCCGAAGAUUUUAACCUUCACCUCUCAGUUAGAAUGUCCUUAAAUAGGGACAGUUGUAAGAUCCCAAUUUUGACCCUAAGAUCCCUCAUGCAAUUUCAUCAUAUGCAUAUGCAUUGGGAUCACACCUUGGCAUCCUCCUUACCCCUCUUUCAUUGGGUUUGUUUUGGGAGAGAUCACCAAGCAUCAUGUGAUUGUAUCAUACUUGUAUAUUAUCAUUUUACUAACCAAAAUACCAAAAAUACGUCUUUGUAUUUGCCUAACUUUUUGUAGGUAGGGCAUGAUCUUCAUUGAUCUAUCAAGUUCAUAUAUAGGGUUUGAGACCCUCAUGACAAAGGGCACAACCAUGAAUUGAUCCAAGAAUGGUUAUGAACAUCAUAUAUAAGUCCCAAUGAUUCAUACAUGUCAUAUUGAUCAAUUUUUCUUAAAGUGUUUAGAGGUGAUUUGCCUUGGAAACCCUAGUUUGACUAGGUAUCUUGAGUAACUUCUCCAACAAGCUAUCUCACCAAUUGAUCAAAUUUCUCAAGGGACACUUAAAAUUUCAUCAUUUUAUGCAUACAUGAUCUACCAUGAGCCAAGAAAGUUAAGAGAAUUGAAGGUUGACAAGUUAGUUGAUGGUGGUUGGCCAGAUGAAUUCAUCUGAUCAAAACUAGGUCUCCCUAGACCCUAUCUCCUACAAUUUUCACCAUAUGAAAAUGAUUUCAAGAGAAACUUUACUCUAAAUUACAUUUCAAACAACUUUCAUGUUGAGACCUAGAGCUUGUUUUGCUUGGAAAAUCAUCUUCUAUGUUGAAACAUUAUAGGUCAUUUUGUCUAAACCAUAAUUUGAAAGUCAACUUCCCAAGGCCAUAACUUGAUCAAUUUUUAUGAGAUGAAAUAUUUCCAAGUUGCAAAAUCAAGUUAAAAAUGUCUACUUCAACUUUUAUGUUUAUAGUGGAAGCAAAUUCAACUUUUAUGAGCAUGUGAUAUGAGGAUACAUUAUAGGUCAUUUUUUACCUAUAUCAUUGAACAAGUGAUUUUUCCAAACUUCAAAAAUGCAUAACUCUAUCAUUCUAAAUCCAAACAACAUGAAAAUGGUGACCAUUUUUUGAGGUAUUUGAAAGAGUUACAACUUUGAUGAAGACAUUUUUCUCAUUUGAAGCUCACAUAAAAAGUUAAGUAAGGUGGAAUAUUGAGAUAUAUGACUUGUCACUUAGGAAAAUUUUUAACAUGUUGAAAUUUCCAAGCUUCCACCUCAAAAUUCACCAUGAUCCAAGCUCCAAAUGAAAAAGUGUUCAUCAUCAAACUUGUUCCUCUUGAUCCAAGAUUUCUAAAGAAUCCAAGGUCAUGCAUUUUGGAUGAGGUUUGCUAGGGUUGCGCAUGGCUUUAACAAAGCUGCAUCAUUGGAGGAAAUCAAAUGUACAAACUUCAUUUCACAUGGCCUUGCCAUUCAAGCUUCAUUCAGACUUCAACAUGAUUGAUUUUGGACCUUAAUGCAUUGCCUCAUGGGCAUGUACAUGCCCAUGCACUCGUGCCAUUCACAUUGCUAAAUUUGGACAAAAUUUCAAGUGUGCAAAUAUCACUCCCUCAUGCUAUAAAUACAUGACCUCUGUGCUCAAUUCAAACAAACCUUGCGCGCCAUCUUUUACCCCCAAUUCAAACCCUCUCAUUCUAAAGGAAAACCUGAGAAUUUUCAAUUUGAAAAUUGAGUUUGAAUCUCAACUGUUGGAGAUUCAAAAACUCCAGGAUCCGAAGCCUUGCACCCUUGCUAAUCACUUCCUGAAAGCUUCUCAAGUGUGAUCAGAUCGUGUUUGAAGCAAGCAACAUCAAGUUCUGCACAACAUUGAAGGUAAUUUUCAGAAAACUUCAUCUCUUCGAUUCUCACUCAAUUCUCAUCAAUUCUCUUGGAUCUUUGGUUGUAGUUUGAAGCAAGCAACAUCAAGUUCUGCACAACAUUGAAGGUAAUUUUCAGAAAACUUCAUCUCUUCGAUUCUCACUCAAUUCUCAUCAAUUCUCUUGGAUCUUUGGUUGUAUGAAGUCCUACCAAUGUAGGCAAGAAGAUUGAGUUGCUUAGAGGUUAAAUCGAAGCAACUCAGUUGAUACACCUCAAAAUUCAACUCCUCAUAUCUUUCUAUAUAUGUGGAGUUAGUUAAAAUUGAGGUGAUAUUCGUGAUAUACACCAUUUUAUCUUUUAGAUCAUGUCCUCUUUUGUCAUUUAUGAUGUGGUGAUGAUUGAACCAGUCUGACCAGGAUCAUCGGAGAAGAUGAUCGGGCUUUGGCUCCGGCGAUGAGCUGGAAGUGUUCAGAGCCAUUAGAUGAGUUUGAAAUGUUUUAAUCUCGUGCGUUGUUUUUAAAUACCAAGCCUAUGCCGCGUUGACUGCAGUGCACCAUGGAACGCGCGCGUUGGUCCACUUGAUCUGCCACCUCAAUUAAUGAGGGAGAUCAAGUGGUCCACGUUUUUUGAUAUUUUCUGAUUUCUCUUUUAUUCCUUUUAUUUUCAUUAAUUCAUAUUAAUUUUAAUAUUGAUCCAAAAAAUAUGAGAGUUUCACCAAAUAAUUUCAAAUAAUUUCCUCUUUCAUAUUUUGAAUUAAAAUUAUUUUUUGAAUCAUUAUUAAUAUUUUUCAUGAUUUAAUUGAUUUUGUGAUUAUUUUUAAUUGUUUAAAAAUACUUUUGUCUUUAAAAAUUUUGAAAUUUUUUCUCCAAGGUCCUUUGACCUUGUUUGACCUAUGAUAAAUCUCAUGGUCAUUUCUUUGGUGUUUUGAUGAGGUUUUAGGAAUUUGACAAACCAUAUUUAAUUUAAAUGUAUUAUUUUAGGUAUUUUUAAUUUGAAUAAUGCCAAUUAAUUGUGUUGACCUAAUUGUGAUGACUUGUAUAGUUUGAAUCUUGUUGUAGGCCUUGGUCAAGGUUGAUUUGACUUUGUCAAGUUAAAUCAUUGGAUUUAGGGGAUUGAUGGAAUGUACAUUCCAUCUCCCAAAAUAAAUGGAUGAUAUUAAUUUGGUAAAAGUCCUCCUUUGACCAAUUUGAGUUUUGAUCCAUUCCCCUCCCUCUUCAUAUCAUUCCCAUUCUUUAUCAUUCAUCUCAUUUGGCCUAUGAUAUCUCUAAGUCCUAAGGCUAGUUGAUUGCAAAAUCAACAUAAGUAUGGAUGAGAUCAGGCCACCUCUUUUGCAUAUUCUUUUUGUGUGUAGUAUGUUUCAUGAGCAUAGUCCAUUAUACUAUGUCUCUAACAUGAAUUAACACCAAAAUUCUAUUGCCCGACCUCAAAUAGUUGUGACUUCUACAUAAGUCCAAUUACGAUUGCUUAACAUAUCGCUAAAUUUGUGACACAAAAAGGCAUAGCAUUCUAGUUAGUGAGAUUGUAAGUCUCCCCUCUUUCAUGGUAUUGUGUGGAAACUUGGCCUUUUUUCCUUCCUUUGGAAGAUGUCUUGGUUCAAGGAACAUAGCAUUCUAGUUAGUGAGAUUGUAAGUCUCCCCUCUUUCAUGGUAUUGUGUGGAAACUUGGCCUUUUUUCCUUCCUUUGGAAGAUGUCUUGGUUCAAGGAUCCAUGCUUGUGAUAAGUGGGUUAGGUGUUCUCCAAAGAGUGACUUAAAAUGAAAAGCAAAAGCAAAACAAUACUAACUUCUAACUCAUUAACAACUAACAUUUAAUUUCAAGUCCUUUAUUUUAAGGCACUUUAAUUUUUAAGCUCUAUUCAUUUGCCAUUAUUCAUACCAUUCUAAUUGUUUAUGUUAAUGUCAUUUUCACUUUGUCCAUUUGGACCAUAUUGUGUGCUAUACCUUGUUUAUAUAUAUUUUUGUUUGUUUGUGUGGUCUUUGACCAUUAAUGUACAUAAUAAGAACAAAGAACCCUAAAAAACUUUUGUGUGGACUGUUGGCUUGAUCUGGGACAAAUUGGACUUAGAAUUUAGGCAACCUUCCUAUGCUAAAGGACUUGGCCAAUGCCAGCAUUUGUGUAACCAAGUGAUUUAAAUUUGAAACUUCAUCUGAUACAUCUUUGAAGAUCCCUUUGAGUUCAUAUGCAACAUGAUCAUUGUGAAGCUGUUAUUUUGAACCCGUGACUUGUGGAAUUCAUCUGUUACAUGACCAAAUUUGAAGGAGAUCAUGGAGUGGCUAAAGCUUAGAUGUGACUAUCUUUAUUUUAUGCCUUACUCUUCAAGUUAAUAUUGUAUGCAUUGUUUGUUGCUUGAUUAUAAUAUCCAAGGGAAUUUAGGGUUUCUAUAUGACAUUCUUGCCUAUUGGAUUGCUACCCAUUGGUCAAAUCUUUACAACUCUUAACUUUUAAUUUUGUACAUAGGACUAGUCUCUUCAUCUCCUCACCAUUUAUUUAAUUUUAAAAUCUCUCCCUCCUUUUAAAAAAAACUUCAUUGUUUGAACUUGUUAUUUUCUAAAUUUUGACCACUUUGCAAACUAGAAACUUUGGCCUUAUGCCAUUGCAUUUUCAAACUUCAUUUCUUAAUCAAACUUGUAAUAAACUUAACUAUAUUUGACUUAAAAUUUUCAAAAGCCAAAAAGAACUAACUCAUUCAAACCAUUUUUAGGCCUUUGUGCCUUUCAAACUUAAUUUUUGUUAAAAGCAAUGCACCCACUUUGAAAUUGGUAUCUCGAACUACGAGGUUUUGAUCCCUCAUUUUUAUGUUGGUACGUAGGCACAAGUCUGAAGGUCUUGUCAAACACAAAAACAUAAUUAAUGAAUUCUUUUCUCAUCCCCUCACUCUAUUUGUUUGUAAACAUCAUUUUUGUACGAAACACAUAUGCACACAAAAAAGGGCUCCCUAGGAGUACCUAGGACACCUUGGGUGCUAACACCUUCCCUCUGUGUAACCAACCCCCUUACCUGUAAUCUCUGACAUUUUUUUAGUUUUGAUUUGAAAACUUCUUACUUUUUGGGUUUUGUUCAUACUUUUUCCCUUUUCCAUUGGAAACAAUAAAAGCGCGGUGGCGACUCUGGUUUUAUUAAUCUCUAGCUUGUCAAUAGCUUGACGAUCAUGAAUUUACCGCUAUAGUAAUUAUUCUUUUUCAUCCUCAUAGCACCUAGAUCUAACUUGUUUGAAUCAUUAGAUGUUUUAGGAGGGAAAGUCAAGUGUCAGGUCCUUAGGCUAGGUAUGACCAACACCCCAAUUACUUGAAUGUUGUGUACAAACACGUACACCCCAUUUGGCAUUCCAAUUUGUUAUGAAAAUAGUUUUGAAAAAAGGUACUUGACGUUGGAUCAAGCAGUUGAAUUUAUUAUGAAAAUAGUGAGUGAAGCAUGAGUUUGAGAAGAGAGUGGAGAAGAGAUGAUAGAAUUGAUCAUGGAGUGGAUGGAGGACGCUUGAUGUUAGAUAAAGCAUUUACGUUGCAAUGGUGUGAGUUUUAUUCGGAAAACAACUUGACGUUGAAUUAAGUACCUUUUGUUUCUUUUGAAAUGCUUUGUUUAUCAUUUUGUAUUUUAUCUUUGAUUACUAACAUGCAUGGUGAACUAACUAGAAAGCAAUAAAGCUAAGCUAUUACAUGACUAAAGGGUGGGUUAACAUUUAACCCACGAUGGGGGGAUGGAUCCAUACAAUACAACAUGAGGGAAUGAACGAAAAAUACAAGUUACAAACUAUUAACUAUGUACCAUGCCUAUGGCAUACAAGUGACAUGGUACUUCAAACAAUACAAAACUAUUGACUGAAAAUGAAAUGGUUAGGAGCAUGGCUAGCUAGGAGUGAACUUGAAUCUCCAAGUCACAUGUGGACACAAAACUACAAACGAGUUAGCAUGAGAUAAAGCCGAAUGAAUGAGAAUGAAACAAAAACGUGUAAGUGCAUACAAUGGUUAGAAUCGAUUCAAAGGUAAUGGAUUAAUCAAUGAAAAACCAUCAAAGAUAUAUCCUAUGAUCAUGGAAAAUGAAAUUAGACAUAUAAAGUAUUCAUGACCUAAAUUGAAAUGGGAUUUUCAAUUUAAUCAAAAUGAUCAUAAACCAAAGGAAUCGAUUAAAUGGACAAUUAAAGUGACUAUUAAUUCUAAGAAUUAAAAUCUACCUAAACACGAAUUAGGAAUUACUAAUCAAUCAAAUGGAAAAUUCACAAUCUAAUCAAGAAUUGAAUUCUAAUCUACAUGAUCACACAAAUCAAAUUGAGUGGAAAUUUAACAUAAAGUCUAACCAUGGCAAAAUCAACAAUUAGCCAUAUAAAAUCCACACAAAACCCAUAAAAAGAAAUAACGAGAUUAAAUGACUAAAAAUUAAUCAUGGCAAGGUUAAUCAGUCAGAAAUUAAUUCUGGAAAAUUAAGAAACUAAACCUAAUCUAGAAAUUGAUUAAACCUAAUUUCUAAAUCCUAAUCACCUAAUUAAACCUAAUUAAGAAUUAAGCUAAAAAGUGAAUUAAUCCUAAUAUUUAAAAUCAAGAACUAACCUAAAUCCUAUAACUUAACCAACCAGCACAAAGAUUAAUCACAAAAAAUAGGAAUUAACACCGAUUAAUAAUAAUUACGUCUGGGUUAAAGGGAGGAUUUAAGAACUAAUUCUAAUAUUGGGCCUGGGGGUACAAUCCAUGAACUGGGGGUGUAAUGAGGAGGUAUGGAUAGAAGAUUCACUUGUGCCUGAGCCCAAGCUUCACUCGUCCUCCACCGGGUUCAACACGUGAUAAGGAAACCCUAAAAGAAAUCCAUAUCCGCGCGGAGAAAUCCCUAGUUCCAAAUGCUCGACGUGUAAAGCUUUGCCCAGAAAAAUUCAGGGAUUCGAUUUCUCAUCUCCAAAAUCCCGAAUCCAAACAUGUUGAAUCUAGGUCGAAACGAAAAGGGUGUUCCUUCAUGAACCAAGAAUUCUGCUUUAACAAGAUUCAAGCUCCACCCUCAAACGAAGAAUCAAGGAUGAAUCCUCGGAACACAAUCACAACCAAAAUCGAAAUCGCUUAAGGCUCGUUCUUGCGUACGGGCGAAAUCGACCGGAGAACGAAUGGCGUACCCGGUUCGUGCGCGCUUGCGAUGGUUGUUGAAGCGAGGAAGGUGAAGACGAUGAAUGAAGAGGUUGAUGCGUCACGAUUGGUGAAGGUGGAUGACGCGUCGCGAUCGACAAAGAGCCUAUGAUGCGGUGCGAUUGAUGAAGAUCUUUGAGAAAUCCUUGGUAUGCUUCUGUUUGAUUUUCUCUCUUCUGUUUUCUGCUAUUGUUCCGUUUUUCUGCUAAUGUUAGCAGUUGGUUUCGUCUUCUGUCAUAAUCGUCGCGCGUGGAUUGGAACGAGGAGCGAAGGUGAUAUUCGAUUCGUGUCGGCUUCAAAGUUCCAAAACGGUUUCCAGGUGACAAGCUUCCUUCUUCUUCCUUUUCUUCCAACGUCUUGUUCCUCUUUUCUUCUGUUUCUGCUCUGCGUGAGUUUUGAGUUCCUUUUUUGGUAUUAUGCACGGUGAUGGAAAGGGAGAAGAGGAUUUUGUUACUCCAUGGUUGUUGCAGGUUAGAGAUGGUUAUGAAGGGUUGUUGAAAGGGAAGUUUAGGGUGGAGAAAUGAAGUUUUGCAGGGUUAAAGUGUUGGUUGAAGAAGAUGGAUCUAUGAGUGAAGUGAGGGUGAAUGUGGUUUUUGAUUGUGAUGGAAGAUUGUUGGAGAGUGAGGGUGAAGAAGUGCAGUGAGGUUUUGAAGAAUAAGGAGUGGAAAAUCCUGAAUCAGAAUGGUGAGUUAUAUAUAGACUUCUCUCCUUCCAAAUUCUGUUAGGAAAAUCGGUUAGGAACUGUUAUGAGUUGGUUAGAUUCAAUGGGAGUUUAGGUUAUAUUAGUUAUGAACUGGUUAGAUCCAAUAUAAAUUUCUAUUAGAGUUUUUGUUGAGUAUUAAUUGAAUUCGGAUGUUUUUAUGCUUAUACAGGUCUUUAGCUUCGGUAAUAUCAGCAGGCAGGUUUCUCACAUAGACAGAUGUUACUUCUUCAUGGUCAAAUUUGUAGCCAUCCACUGCUGCAUCGGCCCUUGACUCUGAAGUAUAUGCAGAUACUAAGCUUGACUGCUGAUAAACAGGCUUCACCACAGCCUGCUGAGUAGCAGGCUGUGUCACAUGAUUAAACUCUGAAGGAGGAGAACUUUGAAAAGAAUGAUGUGGGGCAUGUUCGAGU